rnacentral:lncRNA from 1 species
GUCUAGAUUUAUUAUUAAUUGCAAAUUAUGAGAACUGUUACAUAGACGAUUCUACAACUGACAAUUCCUUCCGACCCUUACUAGAUUCACGACAGACUACACUUCCUUCUUCGUAAUCUUGAUGAAUACCUUCAAUGAUCCACGACCUGGCGACACUUCCUUCUCUGCGUAGAAUCCUGGCGAACGGCUAUAAUUGUACAUCGCUGGAGAUCUCUUGCACACUUGCCUCCAUUAAUCUGCAAAUUUGUUAAUAAAUCGCAAUACCUGGGACUCGAACCCCAGACCUUUUGGUGUAGAAGCAUUAAUCAACCUUUGGUCAACCAAUGGGCCAAGGGGCUUCCACAUAUUCGAUUUUUAAUUUUGUUUUUUUUUUUUUUUGGUCGUCUUAGAUUUAUUAUUAAUUGCAUAUUAUGAGAACUGUUACAUAGACGAUUCUACAACUGACAAUUCCUUCCGACCCUUACUAGAUCCACGGCAGACUACACUUCAUUCUUCGUGAUCUUGAUGAAUACCUUCAAUGAUCCACGACCUGGCGACACUUCCUUCUCUGCGUAGAAUCUUGGCAAACGGCUAUAAUUGUACAUCGUUGGAGAUCUCUUGCACAUUUGCCUCCAUUAAUCUGCAAAUUUGUAAAUAAAUCGCAAUAUCUGGGACUCGAACCCCAGACCUCUUGGUGUAGAAGCAUUAAUCAACCCUUGGUCAACCAAUGGGCCAAGGGCCUUCCACUUUCAAUUUUGUUUAGAAAUGAAUUGUUAAAAAGACUUUGUUAAUAAAUAAGCAAAAUUUCUAAAACGAAAUUUAUAUUUUAAAACAAAGCUUAGAAGAAUAUAUUAUAAAACAAAUAUAUUUUGUAAUGUAACAUAGUUAUAAAAAUAAUAAUUUAAAACUAUAUUUUUCUACUAAAACUCCAUUCGAGAUUUACCUAGGGUUUUCUACUAAAACUCCAUUCGAGAUUUACCUAGGGUGGCCAUCAGUUAACUAAGUGGGAUUAUAUCCUGGUAAUUAGUUAAUUCAAAACUCCUAAGAUUAUACUAUAUUGUAAGAUUAUACUGUAUAAGUGGGAUUCCAAUCAAACCCCUAUUAUUUAACCGGAGGGUCUAACAACGUGCUCCUUGGAGACAAAUGAUUGAUAAGCCUAUUUGACAGUACCGGCCGGACGGUUUCUUGGCUGAGAUUUUUCGUCCAAUGGGUUUAAAAGACCACAUUCCCAAGUUUGAAACCCAUCCAAUGGUACUCCAUCCAUCUCCGGUAGAGCUUAACCGGAUUAUUCCAAUCAAACGACGACAAUUCUUUUUUUUUUUGAUAAACCCUAUCGGCUAUCCGGUCGGUCCCGGUAGGAACGCACCGAGGUGCUACAUAGUGGACUGGUCCACUGUGUUAACGGUUAGGCCCUUACGGGCUACCACUCUGCCUAUCCCGAGUUUGGAAUGUCUUCCGACUAAGUGUCAGGCCGCCUGCAUUUCUAGCUACCAGGUAAACCAAUUGGGCUAAGGCCCAACUGACAAACUUCCCAAACAAAUGUGUUUUUGUUUCCAGAAAGAAUCGAACUCAGGUUUGAGAGUUUCACCCUUUCCCAAAGCUUCUUCUGCCACUAGACCACGGAUGCUUGGGCAAUGUGAUUUUGGUUUAGCAGUAAAUUCCAUACUUUAUAUAUUUGAGUACUCUCCUAUGCACAUUCUAUUAAUUUAUUCAUUAUUUCGCCUUGCUCACCUGCUUUGCUCUUGCGACGACGAUAAAAUAAAUCUUCGGCAUGCAUUCAAAGUUACAAAUUAACAAAUUAAAUGUGCUUUCCUUUGAAACUGAAACGCGUAGAGGAAGGUGAAGAGAUUUGCAAAGAAGUUUCGUUAUUGCCUUAUAUGGUUACACGACGAGUACUAAUAAUAUGUCUCUUCUUCAUCAAAGGCAGGGCCGUCCCAAACUAUUUGAGUGCCUAAAGCAAAAAAAGUUUUGGCCCAUUAACAAAAGCUGUUAUAAAAAAAAAUACAAGUUUUAACAUGUAUGGGAUUCGAAACCGUGACCUGUACAACAAAAGACUUCAAUCUAACCACUAGACCACAGUAACAUUUUAAAAAUUGAUGCCCCUAAAACUAUUUAUAAUUAUUUGAUGCCUAAAGCCCUUGCUUCAUGGGCUUUACCCAUGGGCCGGCCCUGAUCAAAGGUUACUUCGGCUUCAAACGUUUUGAACUUCUGAAUAAUGCUUUCGAUGGAGUGACUGAAUUUUAAGAUUCAUUGAUUUUGACUAAUAAAAAUCUUAUGCUUAUUUUUGUAAGAAUAUCAAAAUAAUAUUUUUUUAGUACAGAUCUCUCUUUUUUUUUUAAUGGAAAAUCAUUAAGUGGUAUCGACACUAUGUCACAUAUUACACUUAAGUACUUAUCGUGUGGAAGUACUGAGUAAGACCAUCUUUAUUGGGAGGUCCUUAGCUUAGUUCUUAGCUCAUGAGUGAUUAAAAUUAAAGGUUGAAAUGUUGAUUUUGCUAAGGAAUGGUUCUUAGUUAAGAGCAAAAAAUUGGUUUAAGAGCAAAAAAUUGGCUUAAGAACCAAAACUAAGGCCUCCCCAAUAAUGUUGCUGACUUGUAGCAUAUUUUCAAGUUAUUGGAACAUUGUGAAUUUAGAAAAUUAAUAUAUGACGUUACAUUAUAUAUAAACCCCAACUAUAUCAAAUUUAUCUUCAGAUGCUUCUUUGGCACAAUGUCGAUCUUCAUAUUCUAAGAAAUAUCUACUAUAGAUAAUAAAAACAAAGAUUGAUCAAUAUAAUAUUGAAAUAUCGUAUAGUCCAUAUAACGAAUCUCAUUUUUAUUUACGUAGAAAAAACAGUUUGAUUUAUUGUAUAAAUUAUGAACAGUAAAGAAACAAGUUUUGCUAGAAAAAACAGCGGAAUAAAGUGUAUCCUAUUGGUCAUUUGUAUGAAUAUGAAAAAUUUAGGAAACAUGACUGAAUCAAACUAAUAGAAAUGUAUAUAAAAAAGCAAUAAACUAUAAAUAUAUGUAUGAAAAUAAACUUGUUCAGUGUGACGAGUUUGUCACGAGACUAUAUAUAGUCCCCCAAAAAUCUAUUAUGACAAAUGUAUUUAAUUUGGACUACCAAAACGUCCUCUUUGGACAGGACCGGUGGUUGUGUUGACGUAAAUCGAAAAUCGAAAAUAGAAUUUUGACGUGAAUUUUCACGCAAGGAAUAUUGUAGAAUAUUUGGUGCAAGGCAUAUUUGGACAGGACCGGUGGUUGACGUGAAUUCUCAUGGAUUUUAUGUCGUUUCACUUUAUUUGUCAUGUUCUGGCAUUGGAGAAUGUCUCUUUUAAUUAUGUUUUAAACUUUGUGAUCUUUGAAUCAUUUUUCUUUGUACUUGGUUUGAUUUGAAUGAAUGAAAACAAGUUUUUGCACAAAAAAAAAAAAAUGGAAUAUUGUAGAAUUAAAAACAAUGGAAAUCGAACCUAAGUAAUACUAUAAACAGAAAUUUUACGUGAAUUGUUUUUAUGUAAUGAAAAUUCUAGAAUUGAAAAUAGAAAAUUGAAACCAAAUUUUGUUUUUUUCAUCAGAAGUUUGAAGAUUAUUUAUCGUGUUAGUAAAUAUUUUUAAGGUGAAACAAAACUAAUGUAAAUAAUUGCAGAUUGGAACCAUUUUUGGAAGCUAACGUUGUGGUCGUGAAGGAAAUAUGCGAAACCAUUAUUCUUAAUUUGGUUUUACAGAGCACUUAUACCUACGUUUCUCUGUUUAGCGUUUUUUUUUUUUUUUUUGCAACACUAUCUCAUGCUAAUUACCAAUGGAAAUACUUAUAAUUAGAGAAAUUUAAUAUUUCUUUUUUUUGAUGUGUAUAUACAUCUGGUUAUGCAAAUCAAUCACGUAAGCACCUUUAAUUUCUUAACUUGCAAAUUUUCUUUAUGCAAAUCUCAAAUAUGUUUUGCAAUAACAAAUCAUAUAUAAUAUAUAUAUAUAUAUAUAUAUAUAUAUAUAUUUCUUUCUUUCUUUCCUAAUUAUGACAUUUUUUGUAAUGAUACCAAAUUACAAGCAUAUAUAGAGAUAUAACUUUUAGUAUAUGCGUCUGUAUUGUUGAAACUUUGUGACUAAAUUAGAAUGUUAUUUAUUUUGAGUAUGCGUGAUUACUUAUUUUAAGAAGAAGCUUAACCUUUUUUUUGCUAAAAAUAUAUAUCUACAAACGGUUUAAAAACCACGCAUUGAUUUGGGAGUAAGUUUAUUUUUUUGCUAAACGGAGUAAGUUUAUUUACUAAAAAUAAGAACUAAUUUCGAUGAUGUUUCGUAUCAACAGAUGUUUGAUAUGUUACUGUGGUUUGAGCAAUAAGGAGAUAGUUCCUUAAUUAGCAUUGAUAUUUGUUUUUCCUCAACAGUAUGUCACAAACAUAUCUAAUUUCAAUGGGACCUCAGAAAUAAUUUGUUUAAUGAAUGAAAACAAAGAAAAAAUCCAAAAGCCAAAAAACAAAUCUCAUAAUAUACAAUAUUUGACUACAUAAAAUAACAAAAUUCCCAAGAUGUUAAUUCCGUUUCUUUCUAUACCGUAUAAAUCCAAGUCCGGUUUAACUGAACCAAUGGCUCUCGUUAAUUAAUUUGCAAUUUUGCAUGCAUGCCGAAUAUUUUGUCAUCAUUGCAAGCAAUGCAUGUGACAAAGAUGAAAUGAAUAAAUUAUUAAAGAAUGCUGAAAUGAAAAAAGUAUGGAAUUUACUGCUAAAACCAAGAUCAAAUUUUCGUCGUUUGGUUCGAAUAAUCCGGUUAAGCUCUGCCGGUGGGACGGACUUCAAAAUUGGAAGGUCUUUUCAACCCAUUGGACCGAAAAUCUCCACCAAGCAAGUCUCCGGUACGUUUAAUUCGUCAAAUCGACUUAUCAAUCCGUUGAUUUCGAUUCUUCGUCUCCAAAUAGCACGUUGUUAGUCCCGAUCCGGUUUAGCUAAAUCUUGUUAUCGACUAACUGAUUUAGAAGUAAGAACCUCCAUGCCACGUUAGAAUCAGAAAGCGCCUAGUCGGAUGGCUACGUAAUCCAGCUGGAUAGCCUACGUGGCAAUUUGCCAAGACUAAACCGAUUAUUAAAAAAUUAAGAACCGGUUUGUUUUUCCGAUUGAAAGAUUAAUUUUGUUAUGUGCAUACAAUAUAGCUCUCUAACGUAUGCUUCUAAACUGCGAAAAUUGUUUCAACUUACCCAAAGAAGAACACGUUAUCUUUCUUUGACGUGUUCAUGCACCAUCCAUUAAUUUUACAAUUGUUAUACAAAACUGUUUUAAAAAAUAACGCUUCAUGCACCAUCCACUAAUUUACGUAUAUCUAUCUUAUCCGUUACUAGGAGAACAUCAUCGACGCGUUAUUUUUUUUCCAACAAUUUUAAAGGUAAUACUAAUACCUUAAUUUUACGUAUAUCUAUCUCAUUCCUAUCAUGUGUUAAUUUGAAAGAACACACCGAUACCAAAACACAUAUUAAUUUGAAAGAGUUUUGUAGUAUUAGAGGUAAUACUUUAAUUUUGCAAUUUUUAGUUGAGUUAUAUAAGAUAUUGAUUCUUUCAAUUUUAGAUGAGUAUAUAGUAUAUACUAAUAGAUUGUUUAUUGGACCAAUAUUUCUACAUGGUUUGGGAUAUUUAAUUGUUGAAAGGGAAAAAAAAAGAAAAAAUGGCUAUAAAUAUUACUAUACCAUUUAGUUUCUCUUCUCCAUCACAUCUCUACAUUUCUCCCCACAUUGCAUCUAACACUUUUCUCUCUUCUUUCAUCUGUUUUUUUUUUUUGUUUCAAGAUUGAUAAACGAUGACGUAAAAAUAUCAAAAUGGGUUCAAAGAAAGGAUUUGCAACCUUAACUAACCACCAAUAGAAUUCAAGUGAGAAGGUGGAAGCAUACACAUAGCUUUAAGUUUGAUAAGGCCAGAGAGAACAUGUCCAAAAUAACGUUCGGGAUGUCAUGCUACUAAAGAAAACAUCAAACCGACGCUUUACACACUCGCUUAUUUGUUUGGACUUUUGAAUACUAUCUGUUUAUAAGAAAAAUACAUAUUUUGUAGUUUUACAUACUUUAAAAGUGUAUUUAUUGAUAUAACUAAAAAUUUGUAAUUUUAUUGUAAUUAAUUGAUAUGGUAAUUUUUUUAAAAAAAUAUCAGUUUUGCAUAGAAUAUUUGGGAUGAUCCGUUAGACUUGCAUUCAUGUUGACAUAUCGAUGUAAUAGUUAAGAUUCUUAAUUAAGGACUGUAGUUUACUAGUUUUUAGGGGCUAAAUCCUGUCGCCAACAUUUGUCAUCACACGCUCCUCGAAUAACAAUGGAUGGUAUAUAUGGCCGUAUGGACUGCUUAACAAUUUUCGUAGCAGCUUUCCGCAAUUGGGUAACAUGGAUUCAUGUAAUGUGAGCCCAUAUAUAUGUUAACUAUAGUUUUCUCAAAAUUAAUUUAAAAUAUUUGGGCUAUUUAAUUGUUGAAUGGUGAAAAAUAAAAACGAGCAUAAAUAUUACUAUACCAAUUAUGUUUUAUCUUAAUUAUAUCUUAAACUAUAACAAAAAAAUAUAUCAUAAUUUGAUUUAAGUUGUAAAGUACAAAAAAUGUUACUUAAAAUAGGUAAAUUUCCAUUCACCGCUAUUGUUUUCCCACCUGGUAAACAAGCUUUGUAAUUCGUCCCAAAACCACCGUCUCCUAUGAUGUUCUUCUUAGAGAAAUGAUUUGUACCCUCAAUAAUAUCUCCUAAACGCAUCUUCAGAAGCGGAUGCUCGAACAUUGCUAUAUUGAUGCUUAAUGGCUCUCUUGAUCUGCUUCCACUUAAGAAGUAGAGGUUCUGUUCAACAAACUCUUUUAAUAUGCUUUCCUCCAUUCGCUCUGGAUCAUCUCUUUGUUUCACUCUCUUUGUCAUAACCCAUCUGUGCAGAGAAAAAACAAACACAAAGACGAUGAUCGUAAACCCAGGCAUGAGUCAUGUAAUCCCCCAAGCACUCCUCAACAUAGUUCCAUCGAUCUUGCAUUCUGAUUCAAUCACUCUGCCACACAACUCUUUGUUCCCUGAAAGCAAUGCCUUGGAAGGAUCCUUGCAUACACCAUCACUCGACACCUCUACUCGCAGAUUGUCCAUCGAUACUGUUCAUCGAUACUGUUUAUCGAUACUGUUCAUAUGUACUGUUCAUAGGUACUGUUCAUCCCAGCGUGAGUUACCGAGGUCUUAAGCUCCCGGUUCAAUCUGUUCAACCCCAAUUGGUGAAAGGUAAAAACGAAACCUUAAAAGCUUAAAGACCAAAAAUCGAACUUGAACCUAAUUGAUUAUGAGGUUUUCUAUCAAUUAAUAUUUCCUCAAGGUCCAAAAACCACAAUCUAAUGGUUAUCGUUUAUAGCACUUAAGGGUCGAAUCCACAGAGAACUAGAGAUCUAAGACACUAAGAAUACACAAAAUUUCUUAAUCUAAGCAAAUAUAGGAUUGGUUUUAAACUAACAACCUAAGUGAAAUAAAACAAAAGGAACUAAAAUGCAAAUGAAAUAAACAAACCAAAAGAAAUUGACAAAGCUAAACAAGUGUCUAAGCUAAGCAAUAACCCAUAAACAUAAAGCAAUAGCAAAAUAAAUGAGAAAGAUGCAAUUUAUAAAAGUCAACAAAAAGUCAACGAAAGUCAACAAAAAGUCAAAGACGAAAAUGCUAAAUGAAUAAGCCUUUGGGUUAAGGUUAUUGACUUGGGUGGUCAAAGGAUAAUCUAUGAUGCUAAUACAAUCAAUUAUUUGCUAAACCUUAGGUCUAAGAUCACUAAUUUAAGCUAAUCCACUUCCAUGGCAAUAACUCUACAUUAAUCAAGCAAUUAACAUCAAUUUCCAUUGGCAAUCACAAGACUAAUAUGCAUUAAUUUCAAGUCUUACUAACCACCUAGCACCCUAAUCAUCAAUUUCCAUUGGCUAGGAAUGCUAAGCACUCACUAAGUUCUUUCGGGAAUUUCAUCGAACACCUUCCGGGCAUGAAACUUCCUAUGAUCUAGACUAGCUUAAUCAAGACUAAUCUAGCACUAAGAGCACCUAGAGAGUAAGGAUAUAUUAAGACUAAGUCCUAAGCAUCACAAAUCAUCACCUAAUCACCCUAAUCUACUUGACCCAAAAGCUCUAAGAAGACUACUCACUUAAAGCCAUGAAAAUCCAAGGAGUUGACACUAAUCCCUGAAAAUUCAUGUUAGAAGAAGAGUAUAAGAGAUAGAUAGAAGUUGAAUCUAAAGAAAUAUUUAUAUAAAAGCAAGAAUCACAAAGGUUUAAAGUUGAUUACAAAGAGAAAUGAAGAAAACUAGGCUUAGGUAGCAUGAGAAAUCUAGAAAUUAGGUUUAGACACAUUUAUAGGAAAAGAAAACGAACCGGGUCAACCCGGAACAAACCGGGUUUUGACCCGGUUUAAGUACCCAAUCGACCAGGCAAUCGACCAGGCAAUCGACCAGUCAAUCGACCUAGCAAUCGACCAUUUGGUCGACUGCUUCCUCGAUUCCUUCUCGUCCGCGGGUCUGGUUUGGUCCCAAUCGACCAGUCAAUCGACCAACUGGUCUAUUGCUUUCAUCCUCCUUUUGAUUCUUUGAUUCUUCACUUCUUUUAACUCCAUUUGAUUUUAAAACUCAAUGCUCCACUCCAAAAACCUAAAAGUAAGAAAUGUUAUGGAAAUAUGCACCUAAGGACCUAAACAAGAAUGCAAAAUGAUGAAAAACCAAGAGAAACAAAGCUUAAAAAUGAGCAAAAACACAAGAUAUCACUAAUGCAAAGCGAAAUCUUAAACACGGAUAAUGAUUGAUUAAAUGAUUGCUUUUGCUUGUAUGAUUCGAUUGCUUGACUCAUUUAAGUUGUUAGAAAAGUUAUUGCUUAAACCUAACUCGAAAACUCGAAAACACUUAGCCAUGGCUGAAACCUUAAAACCUAAAUCAAAUCAAAUCCGAAAUCCCUAAAAUAUAAAUCGAUUGAUUGAGGUUGUUUAGGUUGUUUAGAUUGAUUAUUUCUAUGAUUGAUUGCAUGCAUAAAUUGAUAGAAAUCAAAACCUAAAAUCGCAUGAACCCUAAAAUCGUUUUUGCGUUUGAAAACCGCAAAAAUUCAAAUCGUUUUCCUCAAAGAGAAACGAAAACCCUAAUGCGUUUUUUCAAACGUUUUCAACUGCAUGUCUACAAUUGCAAAUUCAAAUCGUUCUCAUCAUCGAAACAUAAACCCUAAAACCGAUUGAAACCUAGAGGCUCAACUGCUUACUUUUGUAAAAUCGCGGCUCAACCGCUUCUAUGUCCAAAACCGCAAUUUUCUUGUAUCCCCUAAACCGGAAAUCAUUCUCGGUUAACUCCUAAACCCGAAUAUCAAUUCGGUUCAUCGAUUAAACCGAUUAUAAUUAAAACAUAUAUUAACUUGGUUCAUCAUUUAAACCGACUCAAAACCAAUUUACUUUUGGUUAACUAAUAAACCGGAUCUCAACCCGGUUAACAUAAAUUUAAACAAAAAAAAAAAAAAUUUAUUUUGGUUAUAUAUCUAAACCGAUUAUCAAACCGGUUCCAAUAAUAAUAACCGGAUCUCAAUCUGGGUAAACCGGUUCAAACCGGUUAUUCUAAACGGAAAUCAAUUCGGCCCAACCCCAAAAACCAAAAAUCCCUAAACCGGAAUCUAAUAUUCCGGUUCAACUGUAAACCAUUAAACCGAACUUAUGUUCUGUAUAACCAAAAAAAAAAAAAAACCGUAUCCUUAAAAUUUACGAUUCCCGAGAAAGUUUCCUAAAUUAGAAAGUUUCACGAAAUAGAAACUUUCCUCAAAUAGAAACUUUCCUCAUAUAGAAAGUUUCCCAAAUUAGAAACUUUCCUCAACUAGCAAAUGACCCGGAAUGAAAACUUUCCUCAUUUAGAAGGUUUCCUAAAAUAGAAACUUUCCUCAUUUAGAAAGUUUCCCAAAUUAGAAACUUUCCUCAAAUAUAAAGUUUCCUCAAAUAUAAAGUUUUCCAAAAAAAAACCCCUAAUGAAAUCAAUUUCAUGUUUUCAGAUGUCAAAUAUUCAGAAAGUCGAGUUCGAGGCCCUCAAGGUCUCCGGUGAAAACUAUCUCGAAUGGGCCCUGGACACCAGGAUUUUCCUCAACUCAAAGGGACUGGGUGAGUGUAUCAAAGCGGAUAACACCGCAUCUGAUAAAGACCGGUCCCAGGCGAUAUUUCUUAUCCGCCAUCAUUUGGCCGCGAGCCUCAAACAGCAAUAUCUCACUCUUGAAAAUCCACUCGAACUUUGGGUGGCCCUGAAAAAACGGUAUGAUCACCAGAAAACGGUGCUCUUGCCACAAGCCAAGUUUGACUGGAAGAAACUCCGGUUCCAAGAUUACAAAUCUGUGGAUGACUACAACUCCGAACUCUUUCGGAUAGUUUCAUGUGAAGAGGUGUCUGAUAAUGAUCUCCUCGAGAAAACAUUAUCCACCUUCCAUAUCCAAAACAUUGUGCUUCAGCAGCAAUAUCGUGCAAUAAAACAUACAUUGUACGAAGAUUUGUUAUCUUGUUUGCUCUUGGCCGAGAAAAACAACGAGCUGUUAAUGAGGAACAGUGCCCAGAGGCCCCCGGGAUCAGCUCCAGUACCAGAUUCCCGCAAAGAAUCCUACAAUGUCCAGCGAGACAGAUCCUCAGAUCGUGGCCGUGGACAUGGGAAUGGACGUGGGAAUGGACGUGGAAAGCGUGGACGCGGAAAUGGACGUGGCAACCGACAUAACCUCGGUUAUGGUUCCGGUAAGGGCCGUGGUAUCUCUAAACCAAACCGCCCUGCCCACCCAACCAAUCAGUCUGCCUGCACCAGAUGCGGAAUGUUCAAUCACUGGACAAAGAACUGUCGUACUCCCAAGUUUCAUUGUGAUUUGUAUCAGAAACAUGGGAAAGAACCUGCUGAAGCUAACAUGGCCCAGCAAGUUGAUGCUGACGACACCACCACCGAGCCGACCGAUCCCAUGGACUACGAGAUCUCAGAUCUCCUCAAUUGAUUCUAUCAUCUGAACACUUGCUUAUUUUGAUUUUGUUUUUUCAUUUUGGGUAUUUGUUUUAUUUUUCAUUUGCUAUUAUUUAUUUUCAGAGCGGGUACCUCGAACUUAAUAGAAGGCCACGGCCAGGCCCAUGUGUUGUUAUCAAACGGCACACAUCUGAACAUUCCAGAUGCAUUAUACUCACCCAGCUCAAAAAGAAACCUUUUAAGUUUUAAAGAUAUCAGACUUAAUGGUUUCCACAUAGAAACCCAGGGUGAAGGGAACAAAGAAUCCCUACUGAUCACUAAGAUCACACUUGGCCAUAAACAAGUCCUCGAGACUAUACCCGCAUUAUCUACUGGCCUUUACUAUGCUAAGGUCAGUAUGAUUGAGGCUAAUAAUGCUCUCAAAGCCCGGUUCCGAGACUACACUAUUUGGCACGACCGGCUUGGUCAUCCCGGUACAACCAUGAUGCGUAAAUUAAUCCAAAGUUCUCAAGGACACACCAUUCGAGAAAACCGAGUCUUCCCUCAGCACCUCACGUGCACAGCUUGCUCCCAAGGGAAGUUGAUCACCCGGCCUUCACCAGUAAAAGUGUCCAAAGAGACAUUACAUUUUCUGGAAAGAAUCCAAGGAGACAUCUGUGGUCCCAUUCACCCACCUUCUGGGACAUUCCGGUACUUCAUGGUACUAAUAGACGCUUCGACCCGGUACCAUGGUAUAUUCAUUAGUACCAUGGUACUAAUAGACGCUCCGGUACUUCACGUACGAAUAGCAAACCUUAGUUCUAAACAUAUAUCUCGAUCUUAAAAUUAAUUAAUUGUUUGGUAGCCCAACUAUUUUUCAAAUUAUCUAACCUGGAGUAGUGUAAGGAAAAGCGCCAACCAAAUAUGAAAAUUUCUCCUCAUAUAGAACAUGCGACAUCCCAAUUGGUUGCUUGGCAUAAGCGAGCAAGUAUGAUAUAUAUAUAUAUAUUUAUAUUCACAACCAAAGCUUCAUUACUUGGCUAGCCGGUUGAAUACAUGCAUGAUCUUAAUUCUACGUGGUAAAUAUGUGGUAUACUUCUUUUGGCUUAGUUAAAAUCCAAGGUGUCCCAACUAGAAUCUUCUAUUUUGUCUCAUCAUUAUUUAAUAAGGCCACGUUGUUACUCUAUAUGGAUCAAGCUAGCGCAAUCUCAAAUUCGACACUCAAAACACAAAACCCGAUCACGAAAUCGACUACUACCGUCACGAAACGUAACUCUUAUUUAUUUUAACUAAAAAGUUUCAAAGAAGCAUCUUUGGACGCAAGUACCCUCCAAGCUUUCCAAUAAUUCAAAGUAAUUAUAUAUAUAUACUUCUCUAAAAAGAGCAUGUAUCUUCCUUUAUAUGUAUCUUCCCCUCUUAAUUAUUAACUAGUAGAUAUAUAUCUUUUACGGAAAUAUGAUAAAAGAACACUAAGGUAAAAAUAGGUUAGUUAGUGGUUUCGUUAAGAAAAGAGAAUAGUCAUAUAUCAUAUAGCUAAUGUUAUUUAUGCACGUAUUUGUGGCACUUAAUUCAUUUUGGUGUUAGCAUUAGUAAGUUAAACGGAUUUAAUAUUUUUGUAUGUAGCCAUGCAAAUCGAUGACGCUUAAUUUAGUAAUUAGACUUUUUCGUUGUUGCAUGCAAAUGCCUAUGUGAAGAGCGAUCUCAAACCCAUUAUUUAACCUGUUUUUUUUUUCAUCGAGUACUGUAUUAUUGUAUUAGACAUUGAAAUAUUUUUUUUACUCGGUGGAAAACUAAAAAAAGUACUUUUCUUUUCUAUUAAUAACAACUUAUGUCUCCUUAAUGGUUAUCCAUUGUUACAAAGACUGUUAGUGUUUUGUUCAAUUAAUAUAGCAUAACCGUUAUCAAAAAAAUGUCGUAAACGUAUAUGAGAGGUAGGAUCAUAGGUGCAUAGUUCCUUUCCUCACAAGUCUUUUAUAGAAUUGGAGUUUUCUUGCUCCACACGUUUCGUGGUUCCUAGAAGGAAAAUCAAAAUAAAGUAAAACAUGUACUAAUUAUAGAAGAGUAGCAAUCAAAAUACGGAAUAAACGAAUAGCAAUUGAAAAGGCAGUAGUGCUUUAAUAUGGAAAUUCAACCAGAAAAUGGAGUAGAGAUUGAAAAGGAAGUAGUGCUUUAAUUUGAUUUGGAAAUUCACAAGAAACGUAUAAAGGGAGUUAAUUCGGAGAAAGUGCUCAGCAUAAUAGAAAAAAAUUUAAGAGACGAAGAAAGAAUAAGAUGAAGGUGGAUAUGAAGAAUGAGAUGUAUAAGAUGAAGAUGAGGAUGAAGUAUGAGAAGAAGAAAAAGAAGAUGAAGAAAGAGAAGAGGAAGAGGAUGAAGGCGAUUGAGAAUGAGAGGAAGAAGAUGAAUAUAAGGAAUGAGAUUGAGAAGAAGAAGCUGAAGAUGAAGAUGAAACAAGAGAAGAGGAAGAUGAAAAGAAGGGUUGGCUUUGAGAAAAGUACAACAAUUAUGGAUCUACCUGAUGAAAUUCUGAGGAGGAUACCAGAACCGCAAGAUCUAUGGAGUAUGACAAGAGCAACCAAACACUGGAAUUCACUCUUUAAAUCCAUGACUAAUCCUUACUCUGGAUUGGACACAUCAGACCUAUUAGAUUAUAAGUUUCUCUCUAACAAAAAUAUGACGAGAAUAAGUUCAGUCUUUUGUUUUUCUUUAAAAUUAAAAAACUAAAAUAAUGUUAGUUUUAUUGUAUUUAGAUGAUGCUUUCACGCUUUUGUUAUUAAAUCUUAUGUUAUUUAAUUUUAUAAACAAUCUUAUUUAUAGUAAAUAUAUACAUUUUAUUAGUUUAUUAUGAAUUUCAUUACGUGUUAAGAGCACAUAUUUUGAUAAUAUGUAUUAAAAUACAACUCGAAAAUCAAAACAGACUAUAUUCCAAGUCUUCGAGUCGAAUUUGUCCAAUUAUGAGUCAAUGACUUAAUUCUCUAUUUUUUAUUAAAAAUUAUAUAAAUGUAUUUACCCACAUAUAGUACAUAUAAAUUAAUAAAUAUUAAGAGAUUUACAGAUAAUUCAAAUAAUCUACAAAAUCGAAUCAUUUGAGUAAGAAAAAAAGAGAGGUAAAUGUGCAUUUAUAUUCAAAUUAAAUUUGCAUUUAAAAAAGUAAUCAUUUAAUUAGAGAAAUUUUGGAAUUAUUAAUAUGGUAACAAUUACUAAUAUGGUAAUAAUAUAGAUAUUUAAAAUUAUCCAUAUUUGGUAACUACUACGACUAGUACCUAAGGGAGUAGAAACAAGUUUUAGCAGUAAAUUCUCAAAUUGUUCGGAGUCCUGGCCUUAUGGGCUUCACAGCCCAAUAAGAUCUAUUGGCUGUCGGCUAUGAUUGAUGUCGAUUUACACAUGUUGAGAUUUUCUUUUUGCACUUGGUUCUAAAUUGACAAUUGUUAUAUUUGACUUCAUAAACUUGGUACAUAUACUAUUUACAACAACUUGAAUCAACAGGAAGAAAAAGAAAAAGGAAAAUUUGAUUCCAAGUUUCCAACUCGUUGUACCAUGAAUAGAAGUGUGCACAUAAUAAUACCUUUUUUUACAAAAUCAUGGGAUAGAAAAGAAAAAGGCACAUGAAGGCGAAAGGAAAAGAAGAAGAAGAAAGCUGGUCCAUUGAAUGUUGGGAAAAAUGGACAAAGGCAUGUUACGAUUAUUCCUCUCUUAGAAACCUUUGAAACGUAUUUUAUGAUUUCAGAGAAUGUUUAGCAAGAACAACAAGAAAACAAAUUAAAAACAAAGAGUAAAAUAAAACUCAACCAAUAGUUUUUUUAAAAGUUGCAAAAAGUAGGAAACGGACACAAAAUGACCAUGUCUGAUUAUAUGAUCAAAGAAUCCAAUCUGAAAACAUUUUUUUAGCAUGCUCCAUAAAACUUUUUAUUUUCCAGCAUGCUCCAUAUUCCACUAUUCUUAGUUUUUGUGCCGAUAGAUAUCUAAAAACAUUUAUUUAAUUAGUUUGUAUUUCCAUUUAUAUUGUUUUGGGGCCAUUUUCAAAUUUUCAUUUAAAGCUUCCAACCUAUAAUGAGCAAAGGUCAAUUAAGUGAAAAAUUUUCUUAGGCCAAUCAGUUCUGGUCACAACGGACUUGGUUUCUAAUUAGGUAAUUUAUUUGCUAGCAAAUAAAAAAUAGUUGAAUAACAUAAUUCGUCGAAGAUAUCUUCAUGUGCGUUGAAGAAGAGAUAGGCGCAUCUACCAUAUUUGUUUUCUAAACUUACGCGUAAUAACAAAUAGCAUAAAAUUAAUUAAAAUAACUAAUUUUUUCAUUUCUAUCAAUUAACUCACUAUUUGAUAAAAUGAUGAGUUUCCAAAUCACCAGGGGUCAUAUGACCCGUUUCUCAACCCAAAAACGUUAAUAGUCGUUGUUUUUACAAAGAAGCGGCUAGAGUUGAAUUGAUUUAGUGCUAUUAUCCUUUUUCACUUCGACUUGGCUUGUCUUCACAUAUAACUUUUCAUUUUUAUAGUCAUUCUCAUGAGCUUUUUAAAUUCAGCGGAGACAAAAGCAAAAGAUAGAAAGAGAUAAAGGGAAAUACAUUUUUUUAUUUAAAGUGAAAAGUUUAUAUGCUUAUUCUUAAUUGAAGUGUUAUCCAUCUCACUAAACAUUAUAAUUAAAUACUGAUUAUUGUUUCCGUGAUUGUACGGAUUAAGCUUUAUGACAGUAUAUAACUUCUUUAAUCAUCAAAAUAUGUGUUUCAAAGAAUCUCUACAAAGUUUUAUUUUAUCUGGUCUAAGAUAAUUUUUAUUAAUAUUUUUCCAACUAAUCUUAUAUCCUACACCGAUCAAUUUCCUUUAUAUAUAUGAAGCUUUAUAUAUACGUUAUCUCACUAUCACAUUUUACUUUUGAAUGAUUGAUUAUUCGUCUUCUUUCAUUUCUGACUAUAUACAUGAUUGAACUUUAAGUAGAGAAAAUUUUCCAAAAUGAUAACUAAAAAACAGGAACGAUUGACAAUGUAUUUGGAUCGUAACUAUAGUCUAUACACGACGCAUUAACUCCGAAUUGCAAUGUAUAACUCAAGAAUUUUGUGGUCAUUUCUUUUUUUUUUUUGUUGCAAAAUACUGUAUAUAUAUAUAUUAACGUGGAUAACACAAAAUAUGAUUAGCUCAAGAUUUUGCAUACAAAUGGCAUUGUGGUAUAUCUUAACUCCAUGUUAUUUUUAGAAAAAAAUAAAUAAAAGGACGUAGAGAAAUUGUUAGGACAAAAGGAAAGUUCUUUAAUUAAAAAAAAAGGGUUUUAAGAUUUGAUGGAAUGUGAAUAGAGAAAGUGGGGUGAAGAUAAGCAGAUGCACAAGCAUGGCCACCUAAUAAAUUCAAAAAGAAAACACAUGCAUGAUGCCACACUUAUCACUAAAUAUUAAAUAACUAAGACCUAACAUUUAAAUUUAAAACCAAAAAAUAAGUAUAACAUAAUUGAAAAUGAAAAAAGCUGUAUAUAAAUGAUUACAAAAACAAGAAUAAAAUUAGGUCCAGUGGAAGUGCCAAACUGUAGAGUUGUCCCUUUGUGUCUAGAAGGCUUGUGGAUAUAAUUUGUAUAUAUAAAUGUUUGGUCCUUGGCUGUUUCAUUUUCCUUUCCAUUUUGCCCAAAAAUAUCUUUAUUUAUUAAUCCGUACAUACCACAUGUACAUGUUCACAUGUCGAUUGGAAAAUUUUCUUGAUAAAUCCUUUCAAUAUGUCGUUUUCAAAUAUGAAAAUAUGUCUAUUUUCAUUUGAAAUAUAAAUGAUGACUAUCUGCAUAAAUUUGAAAUCAUUUUGUUUUUAUGAAUACUACCAUUUCUAUAAGCAAAAGCUAUUUCGAUAUACAAUUGGAUUAGGGCGUAAGACAACCAAAUUAAGUAACCUCACUAAAAUGUAAGAGAUCGACUACGAUCUAUGCAAAUAUUUCUAAAUUUGAGAACGAAAUUUAAAGCAUUUUUUUAUCAAAAAAAAGAAAAAAAGAGACUUAAUUAAAGCAUAUGACAUGUGAUGUUAACCAAAUCCGAUUGUUUGGUUUUUCAGUGUUGAAAUUGUAUUAUGGAACACACCUCAUCAUAUUAUAUAUUUCCUGGUUCAUAAAAAUGUUUUUUUUUAUAAACAAAUAUACAUCAUAUAUAGUAAUAUACUAUAUUUUGCAAAAUAAUGAUGCAUACAAAUAAAGUCAUAAAUAUAAAUAUUUAAUUUAUACUAUUUAUUUUUAAGAGUUCUAGAAGAAUUUCAUAUAUAUUGCUGUGCAUCUUUGGGCUUUCUUUAGAUUGGGUUUUUACUUUUUAGGCGUGUUCCAUGUCGAGUUUUACUUGAACGUUUCUUUUACUUUGUUUUGGUUUUGUUCUGUUGAACUAAAUUACGUGUACCUAUUUAAAAACAAAUACGAUUUACUUGUAAAAAUUGGUUUUGGUAUCGAUUUCAGUUCAGAUUAUAUAAUUUGGUUUAAAACUCUAAGGGGGUGUUAUUGGUUUGGGAUUUAGAAAGACUUUUAAUGAGUUUAAAAGUUAUGUAGAAUAUGUUGUUAUUCAAUCAAGACUUUUAAAAACUCUAUUACAAUUUGGUGUUAUUGGUUUGAGAUUUAUAAAAAGUAAUCUAAAAUCUUUAUAAAUCUAGUGUUAUUGGAUUAAGAGUUUUAUAGAGUCAUUAAAAGUUUUGUGUUAUUCAAUUAAAACAAAAGAAUCUUGGAUUGUUGAUAAAUUAAAAUAUUAUGUUAUUGGUUUAGGAUUUUAUCUAAUUUUCUUCAUAAAAAAAGUCAUGAAAACUCUCCCAUAAAAUAGAGAGAUUGUGAAUAGAGUCCAUGACUUUGUAUGUGUCAGCAAUCUUUGACACCGGAAUCGUCUCCGUCGCUGCUUCUCCUGUUCUCCAGCAAUUUCAAGUUCCAAAAUUGGGGAAUGGAGGAGACAAAGACAUCUGUUUAUGAGAUGAUAUGAUCUGUUUGUGUUUUUUGUCUUUGUCUUGGUCAUCUAUUUGUCUUCGCUUAAUAAACAGUUUUCUAUUUGUUGGGUUUGUGUUUGAUUGGUGAAUGAAUGGACCAAAUUGCGAAUAUUCAAGAGGAUGAAGCGGUGGACAAAUAGAUGACAAAGACAAAGACAAAAAACAAGAAAACCAAAAAAGAAGAAGAAGGAUAACAGAACAGACGUGUUCUGGUUCAAAGACUGAAAGGGUUAUCAAAACAACCCAGAAAAAUAUGAAACUUUUUUGAAAAAUAGUAGAGAGAUAUACGAAGCUACAGGAAAAAGCGGAACGUGAUUUGCUGUCACGGUCUGAAAGUUAUGACCAAUCUACCAAGACCGAAGAACAGAGCGACGAAGCUGAAGUGCACCAACUUCAAACUUUUUCUCAAGUCGACUCACAAGGAAUCAGAAGCUUAUCUUUAUACGGUUGGAAAUAUCUUGAUCUCAAGAUUUCAGAACAACUUUUAGAUCUCCAAACCGAGGUCUGAAUCAGAAGAUAUCAAAGGAAGAAGAUGAAGCAAAAACAAGACUAUCAAGACUCAAAACCGCAAAAUCGAAGAACCAAAUUAGUACAACUCUCUGGUAAAUAAAAACUUAUAUCAACUCCGUUAGCUUGCUAAAGAUACCGCUAUUAUCACGCCAAUUUCGGUGAACUGCAUCACCAAGUAACUCUACCAACAAUUUUGUCUCCUCUGGUCCCCAUUGAUUGUAUGGACCCUUUUCCUUACUCUUUUGGGAAUCUCCCAUUGACUAAAAGCAUUUGUUACAGAUGAAUAUAAAACAUAAGGAUGUCCGAUAUUCAAACAACUUAUCUUUGACUAAGCAAAUCUUAUUGACAUUUUUUUCACAUUCAAACAUCCUAAUAUUAAACCAAACGUAUCACAUCUACACUUAUGAAUUAUUAUGAUCAUGAUAAGCAAAUCAAACGUAUCAAAAAAAAAAGACCAUUGACUUGUCACAAAACCAAACGUAUCACAGCAUAAGCAAAUCUCCGCAUGUAUAUAUUAUUAAACCAAACGUAUCACAUCACUUGACUUUUGCAAAUUUUAUAGAUUUUGGUGCUAGAGAAUCAAAAGAUCCAAACACAAUGAAAACAAUUAAAUAUUAUAUGAACAUACAAGAAUCUAACGAUCGACACACGAAAUUCAUAAGCGAGUAUUAUGAUAGAAGAAGCGUACCUCUGUAACUCUGAUAAACAACCUAGUAUAUAGAAGAAAACCAGGCCUACACAGAACAUGUUAUAUAGAAGAUAGAAGAUGGUCACUAGACGUUAAUAAAAAUUGGACAAGAUUUUGGAAAUAUUUUGUAGGAAAAGUUUGGAAAAGUCAUCAAGAGUAUACAAGAUUAUGGAAAAAAGUUUUAAAGACUUUACAAGAUUUUGGAAAAUAAAUCAUCAAGAUAAUAUAAAACUUUUUAACAAUCUUUUAAAAUCCUUUAUUAUCAAGUCACUAAAAGUCUUUCUAAAUCCCAAACCAAUAACACCCCCUAAUUUUCAAGUAUGUGUGACGAGAAAUGCAACUUGCUGCGGGAGACACGGCAUGAGGAAACUCGUUAUCCUUGUGACGGUGUAUUAUUUUACAAUGCAAUUAUUAAAGAUCCAAUUAAGAUGAUGCAACUUUGAAAGCUAUUGAAUUAUUUUUAGUUACUACUACUUUAAUCAACCAGUGAUCGUCUGUUAUAGAAAGAUAAGUACGGACAAUUAUAUUUUUUUAAAAAAUAUUUUUGAAUCAUUAUCAAAUGAUAAAAGCCAGAACCAUAAGUAACUUCCACAAGUUGGUCUCUCUGUAAGAGAUAAAAUUCAAUGAACUUUUUUGUCCAUAUGCACAUGGUUACAGAUAUUUACGUGUAAAGAUAUGUAUAUGUGGAUCUACAUGAAUUUAAUCUAUGUGAGUGGAUGGGCUGACCAAAAGACACAAAACGGUCCAAUGCCACCAACCCUCCUGGUUAAAAUUCCAAAUGUUAUUAGUAUUAAUGGAACAAAAACUCUUAAUUAAUUAUGUUCCUUAGGAGUCUUAGUACGAUUCGUACGACAAAAGUUAAUAUCGGCUACCUCAACUAAUAUUAUGUAUAAUUACAUUUGUGAAGAGGUAAGGUAGCUCAGGCACUUGUAACAUUUAGAUUUCUACAGCUGUCAAAAUAACGUUUUCCUAUUUAUAUAAAAAAAGGAAUUUAACAAAAAAUUUUAAAAUAUUCAUUGAAAUCUACAAAAAUCGAUUUUUGUUUACUAAUUGAUGAUAUAUAUACCCCUUUUAGGCUUAUGAUAUUUUUUAGGUUAGGAAAAAAUACAUAAUGUUAAGUAAAAUUUAGUUCGGUUAAAUUUGGAAUUGAAGGAAAAAAAUUACGAUAAUUCAGGCUCAGUUUUAGCAAAAUGCAUUUUAAACCCAAAUAAUUAUUUUAUAGUAUAAAUAUAUAUAUAUAUAUAUUUAUAGUAUAAAUUUUGGUUCGGUUUUAUUUUCAAGUUUUACAAAAUCUCAUACUUUAUUCACUUUGGUCGCAUUUAGUUGUGAGUUCAACGUCCUAGUCUCUUUGGUUGACCGUCCACUUGCUCGCGGGGUGUUGACUUGUUGGGAUUAACUUUUACGAAGUUCUGUAACUUUGAGUAUGAUUUUAUGGUGAAAAAGUCUUCUUUGGUUGACCGAGAUAUACAAGGUGGAAAGUGAAAACUAGUAGAUCACGUGUUUCACAAAAAUUAUUUGUAAGAGCAUCUCCAACAGUAAUGUCUGGAAGAAUGUUUCAAGAUUAAAAAAAUAGAAAAUAAUACUCCCUCCGUUUCAAAAUAUAAGACGUUUUGGAGAAACUGUUUUGUUUCAAAAUAUAAGUCGUUUUCAAGUUUCUAUGCAAAUUAUAUAUUACUUUAAUAUUUUAUGAUUAUUUUUAUUAUGCAGUUUCUUUUAUGAUUGGCUGAACUUUUAAAAAAUAUAUCUUAUUAAUCGGCGUGCUUUUAACUAAAACGCCUUAUAUUUUGAAACGGAGGGAGUAUAAAAGUAGGAGAGAGUGGAGACACAGUUUCUCCACUUGUCAUUUUAUUAUUGGCCAAAUUCUUUUUUUAUAAUUUAUAAUUUAAAUAAAUAACUUAUUUAUUCUAAAUUGGUUAAAAUAAUAUUUUUGAGACACCUACAUGGAUGGAGAUGCUCUAAUGUGUUCACUAGAAAUAUUCAUUAUCUCACCUAAUUAUUUUUUUACCGCCUUUGUCUGUUAAUUUGUGUACACACCGUUUACAAUCACAGUGGCCGUAACUCGUAAGUAAUUAUCAAAUAUAUACAUGCACUUGUUUUCGUAAACUCCAACCAAAACAAAAAUUGUUUUAACAUUUAAUUUCUUUUUGUCAAUCAAUCUAUCCAGUUUUAAUCUAUAUAGUAACAUAACAACUUUAUUAGUACACACCAUUAGCUAGCCUAUAUGUUCAGAACGUUUUUAAAAAAUUCCUUAACUUUUAUUUACUAAUUUUAUUUUUAACUUUUUGUCAGAAUAAUUAUAAUAUAAAAAUCCUAUUGUAGCCGUUAAACUUGGACUCUCACCAGUUUGUUUGUUAUAUGUUUAAUAUUCAUGCGUUGUAAAAUGAAUCAAUUAGACAACAUUCUUUAUUUAUUAGUAUGCUAUUGAUUAUAAUUAAUGGUAUAAACUAAAGGUAGAUAUGUGAAUAUGUCAUCAAAUUAAUGGAAUCCUAUUCAACGAUUUAAAAAUUUUACAAAAAGAAAUCAACAUAAAAAUUAUUGGCAUACACGCAUAUAAAAAGUAGAAAAUUAAGGUUGUAUGACAUAUGCCGUGGUCUUUUUCAUAAAGCGAAAAUAUGGGACAAAAGGGUUUAUAUUUUUCUAUCUAAUUAUGUCUUUCAUCACCUCAACGAGCCAUCUUCUCUAGACUUGGCUUCGUUUUCCUAAGAAGAUUCAACUUUUGGUACAUAUUUUUCGAAACAUAAAUCUUACCAUAAAAAUGAAAAGUAGAAAUGAGUACAUCUCAAAACAUGAUUGACUUAUUUAAUGAACGGAAAAAAAUAUAUACUCACUUAAUAACAUCUGAUCAAAUUUGAAUAUACCGUUAUGACUAAUCCAACUGGUUUGGUCCAUCCACAAUCUCUAGUUCUAUUGGAUUAAUAAUUAUUUUCGAGAAUGAAUUUUUUUUGUUUACCAUCCUUCUAAUCACAACCGACAUAUAUAAGCUUUGAAAGUUAAAAUUUAGUGAAAAGCCUAUAUCAUAUGCAACACGAAGACGCUAAUUCACCAUUUUUCUUUUGUUAAACUAAAACAGAAAAAUUAUUUUUACCUUAAUCGUUAUAAGAAUCGUUUUACGGAAUGGGGUUUGUUUUUGACCCGUUACUCUUUGCAUAUGAACCACUAAAAUCCAUAAACUAGUCUUUAACAAAAAAAAAAAAAUCCAUAAACUAGCGUAAAGUCAACUGAAGUUCAUAUCGACAUAAUUUCAUUUCAUUUAUCCUAAUAUUUACAAAAGUCAAAAUAUUACUUUUUGUGGUCAACCCACAAAUGAGUUUUUAACCUCAUUAAUCAUUAUCGUGAAAAAUAAAGAUCUCAUUAUUGAGGAGGUUUUGUCUUUGAUAUAUUCAGAACAUGGUCGGUGACUUGAUGCUAUACUAGCUACUAGUAGUAGUUAGUUAAAGAAAAUAAUGUGUGCCAAAAAAAAAAAAAAAAGUUAAAGAAAAUAAUAAUGCUUCACAUACCAUUACUAAAAAAUACAGGUUCACUUAUUUGAUUACUCAUUAUAUAUAAUCUUAAGUGGUGAAAUUAGAAUAUUCGGUUUUAGAUAUAAAAACAAUUGGUGAUAAAAUCUUAUAUUCUUUCUUCCGUGAAAUCAUUUAUAUCCACCGAUCGACCGAGCAACAAAGAGUUAAAACCAAAAAGGUUGGUUCAAGUGGGAUUCACACAUUACAAGAUUCAAUGGAUUUAGGAUUUUAUCCGAAACAGAGCAAUUAUUUUGUGUAAGUAGACAAGUACACGUGGCUACGAAUGAUUGGAAGUUAAUUUAUGUAAAAAUGACAGAUCCUUAAAAAAAGCCAUUUAGAUAUUAGAUUCUCUUCUUGUUCGUAACAACAGGUAACCGUCCCGUUAGAUUAGGUGAAGUGCCCUCGCCACCACCACUUGUUCUUCCUCUCACUAACACUCAUCACGACAUCCAAUGCCAAAUUCACGCCGGUUAUUUACAAAUAAUAAUCUCACGGCGUUAGAAUCUACAAAAUCGAGUUAAUAAUACUCAAUAGUCAAAAGGCCUAUCUAUGUAUUUUUCUUUACUGAUAGGACCGUUGAAAAGGAGUUGUGACCUUUUUGGUAUCAAUUGGUUAAAGCUUAUUUCGUAAUCGGAAAUGGACACAUGCGCCUCCUAAUUUUGACAAUUAGAGAUAUUUCCCAAAAAAGGUUACGUAUUUAGGAUUUAACGGAAAAAAGACAUGCAUUAUAUAUAGCAAAUUAAGAUGGAAUGUAUACUUUUCAAAGUAAGAGAACAGACUCUCAAGUUUUUGCUUCAUAAAACUGCUACUUCCAUCUACCCCUAAAGCUUCACUUAUAGUAAUUUUUUUUAUUGAGUUUCUUGUUUUUCGCUUUUAAAGGUAUUUUGAUCAUAAACAUUGUAUCCGUUUCUUUAUUUCACUCGAAAACCUUUUAGAAAAAAAACUAUAUUGGCCUUGUGAUUCCAAACAAAUAUUAAAUAUUUAAUUUGUUGUAUGUAACGGCUAAAAAUGUUAGGUCAAGUUCAACAUGUUACUCUCCACAAGUUAUCCAAUAAAAAAGUCUAUUUUGUUCUUUUAUGCCAUAUGAAUAAUGGCAUUUUUAUAGAAAAAAGUACUAAGAAUAGAGAAAUCAAGUGUGAAAGGAAAUGUAUUUUAAUUCAGUGACUUUAAAUUUAAGGAAUGUCUUUAUAAGUAAUGUUCAUGUCACUUGACCAAUAUGGUUUCAAAGAAAUAAAUGCAAUUUUUGAAAAAUCUUCAUAAACAAAUCUAUAAUAACGGUUUUGGAAUUUCUUGAUCGAAGAGAUUGGCUUUAUUGAAAAUUUUUACGUUCAUUUUUUCUGAGCAGAUAUAUUAGAAAUAAAAUAGACUAAAUAAAAAAUAUAUAUAUAUGAAGGGGACAAGUAACUAACCUUUUUGGUUAUCUCGAGUCGCAGGACGGCAUGUGAGGCCGUACAUGGUGCAGGAUUUUCUGGGUACGUCUAAAUAUGUUUACUUUUUGAACUAAUUUAAAGUAAACAGAUAUAUCUGGAUUUGUUGGACUGUUUAUAGAUAUUUGAAAAUUAUCUUUUCAAAACUUCCUCUAAAAUUUCUUUAAAAACAUUACAUGCGUUCAAGUACAUAUUUUCGAUUCAUUUUCAGAUACGUUAAAUUCAAGAAUACAUUAAAUUCAAAUACAGAUUGGAUCAUCAUAUCGCCAGUUUAUGAAUGAGCUAGUUACCAUAUAUCAGUUUGAUGUCAAGUCAAUGAUGUAACCGAUAUACAUGUGUGUUCUUCUUUAUGACCGUACGUGCUAAUAAGAUUCUUACUCGAAUUAAUACGUCAAAUAUUGUGUGCUAUAUAUUUUAUAUUUCCUUUUCAUAGAAGACUAUUUUUAUGAAAUUGCGACAGCAUAUAUAUAGAGGAAAAAAUCCAAAAAAAUUCUCAUCUAUUUUUUAUUUGGACGUUUAAUAUCUAUAUUUUUUUUUUAUUGAAAAAAAUACACAAACUAAUUAAAGCGAACAAAUUAAUACUCAAAAAAUUAAAUAUUAUUAUUUUCAUACAUUUCAAAACAAAAAUAAAAUUCCAAUUUUACACUUAUCAUCUUAGUCUCUAUACUACUAAAAGAGAAGUACAAAUGUACUUGGGUCGGGUUACAAUUAAAAAAAAAUUAAAAAUGACCCGAAAACAUCCUAAACGGAUCUUUGAAACAUAACUAUAAUUACAAAGUUUAAAAAAUGUACAAAUCGAAAAAAAACGACACUAAAACAUUAAUUACGAAAAAGCAUUAAUUAAUUACCUAACAAAAAGGAUAAUUUCGUUCAAGAGUUUAUGGAAAUAAGAUUAUGCAAAAUUAAUUUUCUGAGAUCUUAAUAAUAUUUUUUCUGCACAAAUAUCUAAUUUCUCGCCCAAACAAUCUUACUUACUUUAUUUACAAGUAAAAUCUUAAAAAAACUCCAUAAUUCAAAAUCGAAUUAUAUAUCAAAUGUUAAUCAUAUAUUUUCUUGAGAUCUUACUUCCUUUUUUUAAGUUUUCGCUAAUCAAAACAAUAAAACACACACAAUAUUAAUAAUCAAAUCAAAAAUAAUUGUAAACGAAUACUUUUCCCCGCGGUAGCACCGCGGGCUCUGACCUAGUUUUUUUAUAAAUUUUUAAUCUAAAUAGCUUUUGGUUAUCUUUAAACCGGAUCAAACCAGAAUCAAAAUCGGUUAUCACCGGUUCACCACCACCAAAAUUUGUUGUUGUCAUGUUAAGCAACUCCAAUGAGCUUUCUUAGUCCAACAAACCAGUUCUCAAUCCCAGCUCCAGAGCUUUCCCAACACCAUGUUCACCCACUCCACCGACUCUUUCCUUUGCAAAUCCUUCUCUAAGAACAAGGAGAAGCUGGUGGGAACAUGUGGCCAUGGUUCUGCUCCUCAUUGGGUUCCAUCUCCACAUGUUUCUCUCUGCCUCUCCACGUCCCUAGCUUAUCAAAAGCAACACUAACGAAAAAGAAGAAUACAAUUAAACCAAUUACACUAACGAAUCUUCCCUAAAAUUACAAAAAUUCAUUAAAAGACUCAUUACACAUAAACAUGUAAUUUGAGAUUGAAACAGAGAUUUGUCUACCCUCGUUGUAUGCUCCUCUAAUUUGCGAUUGAAAAUGAGAUUUGUCUACUCUAAUUUUCAGUUUCAUUUAGAUUUGCAAAUUCUCUGCAAAAUCAAAGUCUGAAUUCAUUCCAAACGGGAUGAUUCUCGAUAAAAAUGGGUGAAGAAGAAAAAGUUGUAAUCGGGUGACGAAGUUAUAAUCUAAAAUUCAAAUAAAGUCGAAGCAAAAGCUCAAUUUGGUUCUCUCUCUCAACCAUCAUGUCUCGCCGAUGGAUCUCAUCGGAGUUGCUUAACACGACAACAACAAAUUUUGGUGGUGGUGAUAACCGGUUUUGAUUCCGGUUUGUUUCGAUUAAAAGAGAACCAAAAGCAAUGUGGAUUAAAAAUUAAAACAAAAUUCAGGUGAUAAGGGUAAAAUUGAAAUUUUGUUUUUGUUUUGAAAUAAUAAGUAUGAAAAUAACAAGAUUUAAUUUUUUUGAGUAUUAAUGUGUACAUUUUAAUUAGUUUGUGUAUUUUUUUUACAACAAAAAAAAUACGUGUAUUAAACAUCCAAAUAAAAAAUAGAUCAUGAUUUUUUUGGGUUUUUUCCCAUAUCUAUAUAUACAUUUUUGGAUGACUUUUAGCAAAUAAAUCCUGGAGUUGGAUCUUAUUUACGGAUGAAUGCCAUUGGCAUUAAUUAUUUAAAUUUGAAAAAUAUUAAUUAAAGAUAUUACCAAUACGAUUUCGAGAAUCAUAAAUUCAUAUCUUCCUUAAUUUUCUGAGUCAUUAAUGUGAUAAUCUUUAGAAAAUAUUUCUCUGUAAAAAAAAAAAAUCCACAUUAAUGAAGGCAUUAAAAUCGACACUAACAAUUAAAUUAUUUAGAUGUUCAAUUAUUUUAAGAUUCUUAUAUCUUAUUUGAUAUUUUUUUUUUAAUAUCUCAUUCUUUAAUUACUGCGUUUAAAAUUUAUUGGUUGUUACCUAUUUUUUGGUGAAAUUUAUUGGUUGUUACUUAAUAAGUAAUUAUGGUGCGUUUAUUUUAGUUAAUAUCUAAUUUAAAGGAUUUGUUUUCUUUUAUUAUUAAUAAAUGAAUAACAUGUAUAGAAAUAAAAGAUUUUUUUUGCGACUCCAUAAUAAAAAUAUUAAACUCUUAUUUUCUACAUUUCUUACACAUAAUAUCCUCUUAUUCAAUAACAAAAAAUAUAUAUUACAUAUUUUUAAAAAUAUUUAUAAUAUUUAAAUUAUAUAAAAAAUUUGUAAUAUUAAUAUUAUUUCAACUCUAUACAAAUUUAAUAUAUAUGUAUAUAUAUCUUAUGGGAACCAUUUAAAAGAAAUUUUUAAAUUGACUUGAAUUAUAUAGCUUUUAAAUAAAAGUAUUAUUAAAAAGAAAAAUAACUAAAUAAUGUUUAAUUUCACGGGACGGGUAAUAUGAUGGGACGAGUUUGGGUUGAUAUUUAUAAAAGAUCGUAUACCACGGGUGAAAUCCUAAAAUUAACAAUCAAAAUAAUCUAUCAAACAAAUUACAUUUUGAUUUUUUUAAGAAAAUAUAGCCCCGCGGGUUAAAAUCUAGUAUAUACUACAAAACAGUUUUACAUUGCCUUCACGAUAGUGAUAUUCUUGGGAGUUCACGAAUUUUAUAUAUAACUAAUGAAAAAAUGUCAAAUGGAGAAACUAGAGAGAUACCUAAAACUAUAGAUAUAUUGCUUAACGAUCUAUAUUUCUAUUUAAUAAUACUAGAAAACCGUGGAAUAUAUAAAAUAAAUCUUAUGAUAGAAUUAUAAUGUAUGAAUUAAUCAUUAUGGUAAAAAAAUAACCCAUAGAUUUUCUUUCAAAUAUAAAUUUGUAAAAUCACGAAAUGGCAACAUUUACCAUACAAUUUUACAGUAAUGAAGUUCUAAAAUACAAAGAUUAUGUUAAUUUUGAGGACUAUUUCUAAGACCAAUGAUCUAAUUGACAAGCGUGAUUGCAAGCUCAUAGUCCACGCUACCUUCUAGUAAUCAUUUAAAUCAAAUAAUUUUCACGGUAAUUACAGACUGUAUUAGUUUUCUCUUUUCUCUAUAUGGGUUCCAUGAUUAUAUGUGACGUUAAUCAUAAAGAUUAUCUAGCGAGGUUCUGGAGUUGGACAAAUAAUCGGCUAUACACGUUGUUACAUAAUAGAGUUUCAUAUUUAAUGUUGUAUAUAGAUUUAUAGAUAUGUCUGUUUGCCAAAAAAAAAAAAAAAAAAAAAGAUAUAUCUAAUCUAUAAUGAAGUCAAGCUCUAGCAUAUAUAUACAAAAUAACAAAAUUGUAUGCAGGUUGUAAAGUCGAAGACAAAAUGAAUAGAAGAAUAUACCAAGUCAAAAUGAAGACUUCUAACAUAAAUGAAAGGGCAACUUUUGAAAAAAAUGAAUGGUUGCAAAAAUUUGUACUAAAGAGGUCAACAAAAUGGGUUUUCAUUUUUCAGUCAUGUACGUAUGCGACUGUAAACUCCUUGAUUAUUUUUAGGACUAAGCUAGUAGUUAUAUGAUAUAUGGCUAUUCAGAUGUUCUUUUAUAUAUUGCCUCUUUUCUUUAUAUAUGUGACAAGAUAAUUUUUAAAUAUGUUUGUAAGAGUCAUUUAAGUCAACUAGAUGAUAAUAUAUUGUAUCUUAUAUAGUUAUAUUUUAAAUUUUGGCAAUUAAUUUUGUAAGGUUCAUUGAGCUGCAAAAUUAAACACAUAGUGAACUUAUUUACUAGAUAACCAAAACUAUUAGCAAACUUGGUAAACAAAUAUUGUGGCAAACUGUAAAAUAAAUAAGUGAUGUCUUUUUGUAUUUUAUUCAAAUAAAUAACAUGAUAUACAAUAAUAUACAAUAUAUAUAUAUCAUGUAUAGUAUGUUACUGUAUACAAUAAUAUAUAUUUUAAAUAAUAUACAAAAAAUCCCUAAUGAUAAAAAAAAAUGUGAUAGAUAAACCAUUUUGUUUACAAGUUUUUUAUCCAUUAUUUUUGAAAAAAAAGAAAAAAAAAAAGGAAAUGAUUUUUUUUUUAAAAGAAAUGAUUUUCUUAUCAUGUACAUAUUCUCUGUACCUAAUUUAUGAGCGUUUGUUUAGACUUAAACACUUAGGACAUGAAUCCUAAGAAGUUAAAACGUAGAGGAGUUGGAAAUGACGAACUUGCAUUAUUGGGGGACCCAUCACAAUCAAAAGUCAAUUUCUCUGUAUAUCUUCACAGGGAACAAAUUUAAUUAACACUAUGGUAUUUAUUCAAUUAUUAACAUGUGACAUCGUUCCCAUUGCUGACCUUGCCAUGAGGCACACCUUGGAAGGGCCAAUGUUUUCAUUAUCGCCGUUAGGGCCACAAAUAACUAUAUAAAUUUAAAUUAUUCGACAAAUCUUCAAUAACUUCUAAAACCCAUCCAAGUUGAUUCCGAGUCAAUGCAGAACCCGACAUAUUCUUUUGUGUUAUACGCCGUAUAACUAAUUACCAUCCACAACAAUUAAUAAAAUGUUUAAAAAUAAUAAACAAACUAGUUUUCUUACCUGCUUCAUCAAGGUGUGUAGUUUUGUUAUAAGCAUUUCUGCCAAAAUUUCAAGAUUAAAGUGUUUUGGUUUGGAGUAGUAUAUGUAUGGUAGAGAAAGAAAAAAUGGAAACAAAAUCGAAGUAACCCAUUAUUGCUUUGCUUACCGGAAGACCAAAUUUAGAACAAACGGACCUAAAGCAGUUCGAAAACGAUUUUGUAAGAAAAUAUAGUUUUAGUUGAAUUUUUCAGAAUGAAAUAUCUUUCUUAAAAUAAAACCUAAUAGGUGUCAUUGCUCCGCUCCAUCCAAGGUUUUGAGGACUGGCUUCGGAUCGCGGUUUACUUGCGGCAAUGUUGUUAGUUUGUGUCUUCCUCUACCAAAGUGUGAUCCUCCCUUUGUUUCUCUAUCGUUUUUGUGGCCUCUUGGUAAUGUUGUCUUUGUAGUAGUUUUUGGGUCUAUCUGUUUUCUUUGUUGUCAUUGUUCUCUGUAAAAAACUAAAAAUGGUAUAAAUCUUUACCUUUUACCAAAAAAAAAAAAACCUAAUAGGUGUCCCCAAAAAAUAUGAAGAAGAGGACAGGCUAAGCAGCAAGUAGUAUGUUCCCUUAGUCAAAAUUUAAUUAAAAAUCCAAGCAGUGUACACCUCCACCAAAUAUUUCUUUCUUGAUAUAAUGAUUCAUGACAAGAGAAAAAACACCAAAGUCUAUGAUCUUGUAAUUAAAAAAAGAGAUAUUCCAAAUUAGUUUCUCUUAUAAGCUACUUCCUCCUAAGAGUCCUUUCUCAAACUAUAAAACAUAAAAAAAAAUUAAAAAGAUGGAAAUUAUUAACGGUAGAAAAAUUUGUUCUCUAAAAUAACUAAUUUAGUCCAUAAUUUAAGUGAAAUUUAGGAUCCACAAAUAUUAAAAUUUUGAUUCGGGUUCAUUCAUAAUGAGAAGCCAAAAUAUUUUACAACUAAUCAACGGUCAAAGGGUGAUUAAGAACUUAAAGAGGCACCAAACUUAUAAAUAAAAAGGGUAACAAAUAUAGAGAGACUACUUGUUACGAUGGGACCCACAAAGAAGAACCAAAACGGCGGAGAAAUUCGUCGUUUUUAGUGGCUUAUAAAAAGAGGACUCGUAUCGACUCUGCAACAGAACCACCUAAUAUCUCCUCCUCUCCUUCUUUCUCUCGCCGGAAUACGUAUGAUCGAGUGAAACGGCGGAUAAAGCUGUCGUUUUGAGUACUAAUUCGCCGGUCUUGGAGGGCUUUUUUUUUCAGUGAAGGAGUGGUGUGAGAGAUGUCGAGUCUCGAAGAUAUCAAGAACGAGACUGUUGAUCUGGUAUACCAUUUUUCUCUGUUUAUGUCUCUGUUUAUAUUAUGCUCACAACCUGCUCGAUGAUUUGCUUGAAUGAGAAUAGAUCUGUAUACACUUGGUGGCUUUAAGCCUUUGCUUGGUUACUAUUUACUCUCAUUUUGGAUUACUCUGGUUUUGGUUUCGUUUUUUUAUAUACACAUUUCAAUCGAUUUAAUUUUAAAACUGGUUUUUGUAUGAAAAAUUGUUUCUGGGUAGUAAUUAAGUCUAAGAAACGUUUGGAGUACAUGAAGAGUUUGUUCAUAAGAAAAAGUAGAUCUAAGCAUGUGAUCUUAUUCAAAAAAAGAUAAGAAAACAGAGUCUCUUUUCAGUGGUGGAGCUAGCUACGUCUCAAUAAAGUCCAAACCUACUUGUACAAAGUUUUGUCUUUUUUUUUUUUUGGUUGGUUAGGACAAAGAAAUAGUAAGAAUUAAUUCUGGUGAAACUUAGAAAAAAUAAUUAUGACUUUAUUCAAUCUGUUACUUAACACGAAGUUCGGAUUCUUAUUUUUUUGUUGUUGUACCUUUCCGUGGUACGUUUAACUUCUCUGUCUUUAGCAACCAACAAAAAAGAACACAUCUUUUGUGCAGACGUAACUUUUUUUGUGAGUUUUCUUGGGACAAUAAUUUAAAAAUGCUACUUUUACAUAACUUGGACUGUAUUUACGCGACCAAGCCUCGAUUUUUACGCCGGAAAGUUAGGGAAUCUCGCGGCGCGUGUGUUUCACGUCGUAAUCACGUUGGUCGGUGGUGGCGGUCCCCACCUCACCACCGGAAUUUCCCCCCCGCCAAAAAUCUUUCACUGUCACCGAACUUAGUCAACGACUUUUUCAACUAUGUGAUCUUUUAAAAUAAUACUUAUGAACAGAGUAGAUCCAUCAAGUUCUUUCUUUUACUAAAAAAGGUUUCUCCUUCUGAAGAUUUAGAACCAGUUGUGUGUUUGUGAAUGUUUGAGUUACUUGAAUUUGGUUAUCUGAUCGAAUUUGCUUUUGAUUUUUCAGGAAAAAAUUCCGAUUGAGGAAGUUUUCCAGCAGCUAAAAUGUUCAAGGGAAGGAUUGACAACGCAGGAAGGGGAAGACAGGAUUCAGAUCUUUGGCCCCAACAAGCUCGAAGAGAAAAAGGUCUGAAUUUGCAUUUAUCUUCUUUCAGAUAUUGAAGUUAGUUGGUCUCUUUUUGUUUGUUACUGAGUGUCUUGGGUAUUGCACAAUGAAUUUUUGACAGGAAAGCAAAAUUCUCAAGUUUUUGGGGUUUAUGUGGAAUCCACUUUCAUGGGUCAUGGAAAUGGCUGCAAUCAUGGCCAUUGCUUUGGCCAACGGUGAUGGUAGGCCUCCGGAUUGGCAGGAUUUUGUCGGUAUCAUCUGUCUGUUGGUUAUCAACUCUACCAUCAGUUUUAUCGAAGAAAACAAUGCCGGUAAUGCUGCCGCUGCUCUUAUGGCUGGUCUUGCUCCUAAAACCAAGGUAUAGAUAUGAUAAGAGAAUGGUGUAAAGUUGUUAAACAAAACUUUUCUUAUUUUACCUAGAGCUAAUGUUUUGGUUCUUGUUGUGUUGUUUUUCUGUUUCAGGUUCUUAGGGAUGGAAAAUGGAGUGAACAAGAAGCUGCUAUUCUUGUCCCAGGAGAUAUUGUUAGCAUUAAAUUGGGAGACAUUAUCCCUGCUGAUGCUCGUCUACUUGAAGGUGAUCCUUUAAAGGUUGACCAAUCUGCUCUAACUGGAGAGUCCCUUCCUGUAACCAAGCACCCAGGUCAAGAAGUUUUCUCUGGUUCAACCUGCAAACAAGGAGAAAUCGAGGCGGUUGUUAUUGCCACAGGGGUUCACACCUUCUUCGGUAAAGCUGCUCACCUUGUCGACAGCACCAACCAAGUUGGACAUUUCCAGAAGGUUCUUACAGCCAUUGGAAACUUCUGUAUCUGUUCCAUUGCUAUCGGUAUGGUGAUUGAGAUCAUCGUCAUGUACCCGAUUCAACGCCGAAAGUACAGAGAUGGAAUUGAUAACCUUUUGGUCCUCUUGAUCGGUGGUAUCCCCAUUGCUAUGCCCACGGUCUUGUCUGUGACCAUGGCUAUUGGGUCUCACAGGCUGUCUCAGCAAGGUGCCAUCACCAAGCGUAUGACUGCCAUUGAAGAGAUGGCAGGAAUGGAUGUCCUGUGCAGUGACAAAACCGGGACACUAACCCUCAAUAAGUUGAGUGUGGAUAAAAACUUGGUUGAGGUUUUCUGCAAGGGUGUGGAGAAAGAUCAAGUCCUAUUAUUUGCAGCUAUGGCUUCCAGGGUUGAGAACCAGGAUGCCAUUGAUGCAGCCAUGGUUGGGAUGCUUGCUGAUCCAAAGGAGGUAUAAUCUUUUCCUGUUCGAAUUACAUUUAUAGUUUUACUGAGGUUCCAAGAAACAAGUUCUUAUGUUUAAUUGGUAUUUUCGCAGGCUCGAGCUGGAAUUAGGGAGGUUCACUUCCUUCCCUUCAAUCCUGUGGAUAAGAGAACUGCUUUGACUUACAUUGACGGUAAUGGUAACUGGCACAGAGUCAGUAAAGGUGCUCCUGAGCAGGUAAUGGAUUUUCAACCUUACAAGCUAAUGUCUUUUUUUAUGUUUCCAAUUUAUACUAAUUUGAUUCUCCAAACAGAUCCUCGAACUUGCCAAAGCCAGCAAUGACCUUAGCAAGAAGGUGCUCUCCAUUAUUGACAAGUAUGCCGAGCGUGGUCUUAGGUCGUUGGCUGUUGCUCGCCAGGUACUUAUUCGCCAUUAGUACUCAUAGUUCCAGUCUUUUUUUGUAUUUCUUUUCUCAGUGGAAACAAAUGUUCAACUGUUUGUCUUCUUAUUUCCUUUUUAGGUGGUGCCAGAGAAAACAAAGGAAAGCCCAGGUGCACCAUGGGAAUUUGUUGGCUUGUUGCCACUUUUUGAUCCCCCAAGACAUGACAGUGCCGAAACCAUUCGACGGGCUUUGAAUCUCGGUGUUAAUGUUAAGAUGAUCACUGGUACAUUUGCCUACCCAUCUAUCUUGUGCUAACUAUACACCUUUACAUGUCCCCCCUAACAUUCUCUUGGACGACAUAUGUGGCCAGGUGACCAACUUGCUAUUGGUAAGGAAACUGGUCGCAGACUUGGAAUGGGAACAAACAUGUAUCCAUCUUCGGCUCUUCUUGGUACACACAAAGACGCAAACCUUGCAUCCAUUCCUGUUGAGGAGUUGAUUGAAAAGGCUGAUGGAUUUGCCGGAGUCUUCCCAGGUUACAAUCUACUUAUUUAUUGUUUUGGAUUAUAAUAAACCUCACUAUAUGUUCAUUGCAAAGGUUGUGAUGUUAGAUCUAAGCUUCCUUGUUUGUUAUUGCAGAGCACAAAUACGAAAUUGUGAAAAAGUUGCAGGAGAGGAAGCAUAUUGUUGGAAUGACUGGUGAUGGUGUCAAUGAUGCCCCUGCUCUAAAGAAAGCUGAUAUUGGUAUUGCUGUGGCUGAUGCUACAGAUGCUGCUCGGGGUGCUUCAGAUAUCGUGCUCACUGAGCCUGGACUCAGCGUUAUUAUCAGUGCUGUUCUCACCAGCAGAGCUAUUUUCCAGAGAAUGAAGAACUAUACUGUGCGUCUUCUCCUGUUUUUCAUUUGUAAUUUAUUCCAACCAAUUGCCUGCUUGCAAUUGAAACUAAUUACUCUGUUCUCUUUUUUCUCUCUUGUUACAGAUCUAUGCAGUCUCAAUCACCAUCCGUAUUGUGGUAUGCAUAUAACUCCGUUUGAGUUCUUGGCCUUGUUGGUUUUAUCUUGGAUUAAUAGUUUGCUGAUCAUAUUGCUUUGUAACUUUUUGCAGUUUGGUUUCAUGCUUAUUGCUUUGAUAUGGGAAUUUGACUUCUCAGCUUUCAUGGUUCUGAUCAUUGCCAUUCUUAACGAUGGUGAGCAAUGGCUGUCCUUUUCUAUAAAACUCAAAAUCUGUUAACCUUUUCAUAACUGUUUACUUAUAUCUUUUGCUAUUAUGUUGCUACCUUAAUCUUAUAGGUACCAUCAUGACAAUCUCAAAGGACAGAGUUAAGCCAUCUCCCACACCUGAUAGCUGGAAACUUAAAGAAAUUUUUGCCACUGGAGUCGUUCUAGGAGGAUACCAAGCCAUCAUGACUGUUAUUUUCUUCUGGGCUGCGCACAAGACUGACUUUUUCUCGGUACAUACGACUGAGCUAAUUACUUUCUCUUUCCAUAAGGUUUUUCUUAGGUUCUUGUUUAGAGUUGUAAAGUAAAAUUUCACUUUGGAUUCACAGGACACAUUCGGUGUGAGGUCCAUUAGGGACAAUAACCACGAGCUAAUGGGAGCUGUGUAUCUACAAGUUAGUAUCAUUAGUCAAGCUCUGAUCUUCGUUACGAGAUCAAGGAGUUGGUCAUUUGUUGAACGUCCUGGGGCUUUAUUGAUGAUUGCUUUCCUCAUUGCACAACUGGUAAGAUCAUCAAAACCUAAGGGACUUCUUAAUGGGUAAAAAAAGAUUCUCAAAGAAAACACUAGUUGAAUCCAUUCGUUCUUUCAAACGCAGAUUGCAACUUUGAUUGCGGUUUAUGCCAACUGGGAAUUUGCAAAGAUUAGGGGUAUUGGAUGGGGAUGGGCUGGUGUGAUCUGGCUAUACAGUAUUGUCACAUACUUUCCAUUGGACGUUUUCAAGUUUGCCAUUCGAUACAUCUUGAGUGGAAAGGCGUGGCUCAACUUGUUUGAGAACAAGACGGCUUUCACGAUGAAGAAAGAUUACGGAAAAGAAGAGAGAGAGGCUCAAUGGGCACUUGCUCAAAGAACACUUCACGGUUUACAGCCAAAAGAAGCUGUUAACAUCUUCCCUGAGAAAGGAAGUUACAGAGAGUUGUCUGAGAUCGCAGAGCAAGCCAAGAGAAGAGCUGAGAUCGCUAGGUAAUUAAACCGAUCACACCGAUUCUUUUGAUCUAAGUAUAUUCUUUUGUUGGAAUUAAACACUAAUUGAAUGAUUUAUAUGUUAAACAGGCUUAGAGAGCUGCACACACUCAAGGGACACGUUGAAUCAGUAGUGAAGCUAAAGGGCUUGGACAUUGAAACUCCCAGUCACUACACUGUGUAGUAAAACCAAACAUGAUUGAUCUUCGAUCUUCUCCUGUUUUGUCUUUUUUUUUUUUCUUUUUCUUUUUCUUCACCACCUCUUAUGAUGAUUAUUUACAUAGGGAGAGAUCUUUGUUUAUUGCCAUAACUCUUCCCAAAUCUUAUUGUUAGUGUUCUUGUUUCUCAAAUCUGUAAUUUUGCAAAAUUUGCUUUUUUGAAGAAACAAGGCAUGCCUUUGUGGUUGGCAUUUGGCACAUGCACAUUCUCUUCUUUGCUCUUAUUCCAUGGGCCUAUGUAAUCUUAAUCUUCUUCUUUUACUUAAUACAAAUUUUCUUCCGGCUUAAUUACGUUUAUAAACAGUACCAAAAAACCAAACAAAAAUAAAAGGUUAUUACAACAAACAAUUUGCAUUUUUAAAAGGGAAAUUAGUUUGAUGUAAAGAAGGGGAAAUAAUCCAUAAAAAAUUUCUUUGUUUUUUCACUGAAACCAAAAUCAAUUAAACAACACAAUCCUUUAAAAUGCCAUUAAAAACAUGACAUGAGACAAGUUGUGUGGAAGUAGUACGGAUAGAAGAAUCUUAAGAGAAAUAGAGAGAUUUGGAUGAGUGCGAGUGACUGUGAGACACGUGCAAAGAUAUGGAUGAUGACUUCAAAUCAAUGUUACGACUUACGACUUUCAGAGUUUACACAUAUGUCAUCUGACUUCCUCCUUUUUAGAUAUUUAUAUUUUUCGACGUUUUUUUCUUACUCAUCGAAUUUUUGGUAAGCAAUAUUAGUCUUAAUUUUUGUUUUACUUUUUAAUGGUGCACACUGUUGCUAAAACAUUUUGGCGAUCUCUACAAAUGUGUAGCUUUAUUUAAUUGAAGAUUUUGUAGUUGAAAGUUCAUAUGUUUUGGCUAAAGGAGAAAAAAAAUUGUAGUUAUAAAAAUAUAUACACAAAGUUUGUCAGCAUAUGAUAAAUUAUAAUCAAAACAUAAGAAUUUGAUUUAGGCAACACAUGCAUUAAGGGGAACAUUAAAAUGAUAAAUUAAGGGGAAAAAGACAAAACAUAAGAAUUUGAUUUAGGCAACACAUGCAUCGUCGUCUAUUUGGCAUUACAACCAAGUGACCAACAAUAUAAAUUUUAAUCAGAUUUUUAUCGAUUUUUAUAAGAUGUAUUAACAGCCAUGUAUGGUAUUUUAGGUAUUUCCGUAACCAUGAUUAAUUAAGGAUAGGAAAAGGAAAACACUAAUACAUGCUCCUGUUCUUGAAGAAAUUAAGAGAAAAAACACACAAGAUGAUUUUCGUUUAAAAAUAAAACAUAAAACAAACUUUAAAUUACACACUUAAACUAAAAGUCAAAUACUAUCUUGAACAAUGGACUUGAGAGCAAUCGUCUGUAACUCAAGACAUUUAAUGUAAUUACCAAUCUCACUCAACAUUUUUUCUACAUUCAUCUCUUCUCCACCUGGCAAAAGCUUCUGCAAUUCCCUCAGUUUCUCCUCUAUCUCUCCUUCGUUUCGGCCUUCUUUAUCGGAUCUUUCGAGAAUCCGAAUUCCAUCGGAAGAAGAAGUAGUAGUGGUUGGAUUCGUCGAGGACGAUAGCUUCUGUAGCAAGAAACGGCUCCAUGCAAAUUCUUGAGCAGACAAAGCCAAAGCCAUGUCUACUUCAUGCUUCACGGUUUGUUUUGAAGAGUUCUUGUUCAGGUUGAGCUUCUUGAGUGCAGGAACCAAGUGGCUUGUGUAUUUUCUCGUGAAAACUGCACUAGGGUUCUUGUUUGGUUCAAGAGAAAAUACUCGUUUCUUCUUGUUUAUGAUUUGCCUCUCCAUAUGAGAAACUAUUUUUGCUGCAAAGGAAAGUCUACAAGGGAGAAAGUUACAUAUAUAGCAAACUUAGAAUAUGAGAGAGACAGAGAAAGAGAAGAGAGGGGUCCUACGUUUGUUUGUAUAUAACAAGCGUUGAUGAUGUAUAAAGUAAAGUUGUAGAACUUAUUUUGAAGUUAAUUUUCUUUGUAUACAUAUAUGAGGUAAUAUGUUUGGGAGUGCUAUUAUUUUUCGUUCACGUACAAAACACAAGACGAUUUAAAAGUCGUAGUUAAUAGUAUUCUUUUUUUGAGACAUAUUUUAAAAAACAAAGGACUACGAAUAUCGUCAACAAAUAUUUGUAAUUUUUGUAUAAUAAUAUUUUCUUUUUAAAUAAACGAAAACAAAAAUAUAGAAUUAAAAAAAAAUACAUGAAGAGAAUAAUAGGAAAGAGAGUGUAUAUAUAUAUAUAUAUAUAUAUACAUAUAUACAUAAAGAGAGAAAAGGAAGAAAAGGAGAAUUUGGGAAUAAUAAUGGCUGAGGGAAGAAAAAACACAUGGAGUCACAUGCAAGAGCUCUAAUUUGGCUGCAUCACAACUACCCCUAAAGAGGUGCUUUGAGAGACCCUCUUACCAUGUGGCUCCAUUCCAAGAACAAGACAUCAAUACAAAACCCCACCUUCUCUUAAUGCCUUCACAUGUUCCUCUCCUCUUAACCCCUCUCUCUCACUCACACACACACACUUUGUAUAUACAUGUAUGCAUGUGUAUGUGUCCUUGGACCAAUCUCCUUCAAUCUCCUAAUUAAUUUGAUCAAUCUAUGUCAUUUCUCCCAAUAUUAUCAUAAAUCUCCCGCGUAUAUACCAUUUGACCCUUUCUAUUUUGUUUUAUGCUGCAUGUGUGAUGAAUUUGGUUUCACUAUCCACUAAUUUAAUUUUGCGAUCUUUGGAUACAGAUGGUAACUUGCUAAAAAUAAAUUUGAUUAUAAUUAGCGGUAGUUCAAUCGGUGAUCUGUAAAACAUCGAAACAUCUUUGAAUUCGAAUUUUUCUGACCACUGCAAUUAAUAUAACGUAGAUACAAGUUUCUUUACUAUAUAUAUGGACAUUAAGUUAAUAUGCAAAUGUAGUCAAAAUUUUGGUUAUUAAUACAUGUUUUAUUUGUCGAGGACUUUUGGCCUUUUGAUUUUGGCCUUAUGAAUUUUUUUUCCCUAUAGGAUUUGUAAAUUGAUAAAUAUAGUUUAUGUUGACACAAAAGGUAACUUUUGAUAUGAUAUGAAAGUCUGCGUAUUACUCAUUUAUUUCCUUUUUAAUAUAUACCGAGAUAUUUUAAUAUAUAAUAGUGUGUAUAUAUAAUAAAUAAAAUGUCCAAAAAAUAUCUACAACUACUAAACAUGGGCGGUUUGAGACAUUACAAGUUGUCUCUUAAUCUAUAGUGCCUAAUACAUGCAAUAUACACGUUACUAGCUUUUGUUGUUAACAGCAAAAACUGAAUGGGAUCAUCUUGAUUUUGUUGUGUUCUUCAUCCUACCACACAAAAAAAGUCAAGGGUUAGUAGAUUAUCAAUUAAUGCAGCAAGGAAAAUUGCUUUCUCUAAUGUAAAUUAUUUCUUAUUUUUGUUGAAAUGUGAUGUUUUCUCUUAUUAUAUUUUAACGCAAUCCCAUAAUCUUUGAUUGAAUGUGGAAAACAUGUGUUAAUGGUAACCAUCUAGAUGCAAUUAAUACUUGUAUUCAAAUACAAAUAGAUUUAAGGUAUUCGACUAUACUGAAAUCAUAUUAAAUAGUACUAUUAGUUUAAAAUAUACAUAUAUACAAAGGUAGAGGAAUUUUAUAGUUGAAAACAAAAUAAAUGAUAUCAAUCUAAUAGGAGAAAGAAAAAGAGAUGCAAACUAAUAGAUGCGCAUACGAAAUUACCAAUAGAUAGAUACUAGAUAUUCACACCUAUAGUAGACAUUGGACAAUAAUGCAUAUAAUCAUAAAAGUUUCUUGGAAUUUUGCUUGAUUUUCCACCUUUGACUAUUUUAACGAUCCACGUUGAAAAAAUGACAGAAUUAAAUGUAACUCUUUACAAUCACACAAUCAAGCUAGGUAAAAACAGAUUCGUAAUUGUUCAAUAGUAUCUUUACAUAAAAAUAUAAAGAAGCAAUGAAUACAACCAACUAAUGCCAAUAAUAUUAAAAUAUUGAACUAUUUUGUCUGUAUGAACCACAGGAAAUCGUACAAAACUGUCAGAAUAAAUUGUACAAAGUCUGUGGAGAUUUCUAUCGAAUAUUGUAGAUGGCAUGUUUAUGACUUGUUUGUGCUGUUCUUCAAUUUUGUGUUCUCUUUAUAUAUAUAAGCUUUUUUUGAAUUAUUUUAACUGAAAUAAAUAUGUGUAAGCAACAAUAAUAUGAGAGCGGACCCAGAUAGAGGAGAAAGAGAUAUGGCUUGGAUUGGGAUUUGGGAGGGACACAUCUCAUGUGGGUUUGAAUUCGAGUGUUUUGUUUUUAUUCUUAGUUUGGAGCUAUUUUCACAAAUGUCCCCACGUGCACUCACCAUUUAACAUUUCUUUCUACAACACCUUCGUUUAUUGAGAGUCACAAAAAAAAAAAAAAAACAACGCCUAUACUAUAUCUCAAAUGUAAUUAAUGUCCUGUCUUCGUGAUCAAAACUUUAGCAUUACGAUCAAAUCUAGAGGAUAUAUAAAAGUGAUUUUUAAAAAGGAGGUUUAAUAUAAAACUGUGUGCUUAUAUUUUUUUAAAUUAUUAUAAUCUAACGUAUGAUGAGAAUAUAGUAAACUACUCAUACUUUAUACCUAUAGACUAUAGUAGUAAUUGUCAUAAAGAGAUCUUAAGAAAAGAUGACGAAAAAAAGACAAGAUUACCGUUCUAUUUUUAUCGAUGACAGAAACACAUAAAAUCCAGGUACCCUUUUUUUUAACCAUUUUUAUUUUAUUUUUUGCACUCCCACGUAUUGUACGUCUAGUGGCUUAACAACCUGUAUUCUUUGUUCCAUCGAUAGAGAUUUUUGAUUGUCUAGCUCUCUGAGUUUUAUGUAACAAAAACACAUUUAUUUUUGUUGUUCUUAGUAAAACAUACCUUAUAUAGUUAUAUAUAUCACUAAAACGAGAAACGAAGGGCAUUUGACAUUAAAUAAUUAAAAACGAAGGACACAUUAUUAUAAUGUCAAACUAUUUGGCAGGAAUCUUUAUAUAAAAUUAAACUGUUUUCUAGUACAAAUAAUGUAAUAGAAAUUUAAGAAGAGGACAAGGAAAGUGCAGUAAAGAUUUCCUUGUAUUUGGUAGGAAUUGCAACUACGAGUCUCAUCCUCCUUCACAUCUUUUUUUCUUGUUCUUUUCAUUUUCUUCCCUUUUUUUUGUCAAACAUUUCUUUUAACUUAACAUUUAGUAAAGCAGGAACAUGAAAUUUUAUUGUUUUGCCAAAAAAGGAACUCAAAAGUGUACGAACAAAAAAUAUGAGAAUGAGAUUAUUGGGUUCUAUGCGUUACAAAAACAAAACUUUUCUUUGUUUGGUCGGUCCAUUGGUCCACAUGCAAGUAGGCUUGACAAGGUUUUUAACAAUAUUCCAAACUAUAACCAUAAAUUUGUAUUAAAUCAAGUAAAUAACUAUUAAACAUUUAACUGCAAAACAUAUAUGUACGAUACUUAACAUAUGAUUAUAAAAAAUGCUAAGGGUAUUUUUGCUCAAAACGUACAAAAUCUGAAACUUUAAGUUACAGCUUUAUCAUUGAUAAUUUAUUUAUUAGGAUUUAUGAUCAUUUAUCUAAAUAAAUCAUUUAAGUUUGGGUCACAAACGAAAGAUCACACUGACUAGCCAAAUCGGUUCGAAUUUGAAAACAUUGGUCGCACGCAAGUAAAGAAAGAGAAGAAGCAGAAAGCUGUUAUUUGUACUUCUAGAUUGGGCCAGAAUAAUGGGCCUCUCGAUUAUAAAUGCAACAAAUCAGUAAGUCCAGUGUAGGCGAAGGUAACAAACUAACAAUUGCAAUUAGCACAUACAAAAGUAAUUGCCUUUAUGCCAUAAUAAAGAGGGUUGAGGAGGAUAGUGCAUCUUUUAUAGGCGAAGGGAAAGAUUUUAGCGGUGAAUAUUUUUGAUAACUUUAUCAAGAUAAAUUGGUAAUUUUCUUGUUUCAAAUCUUUUAUAAAUGUUGCAACAAAAUAUAUACCUUUUGUUCUCCAAUUAUCUUAACAGAAAUAAACCUAUCCAAGUUUUAUUCUUUGAUUUUUUCUAUCCUCCCUGGAAUACCAUAAUUAUUAUAACAUUAAACAAAAGGAAAAGAAAGAAACUAAAUAAAUCCAUCUUAUUAAUUCAAGUUUCCAUUUUUCACACUGUUGAACUCCUUAUUUUAACAACAAGAAAUUAAAUUUUAUUAUAUUAAAAAAAAAAAAAAACAAAUCCUCUCAAGGAAUAAAAGAGAAAAAAUCUCAAGAUCACUAAUUGGCACGUGAACAAUCCCUUCGAAUCUCACCAGCAUUACCAGUCAAAACACCAACCCGACCCAACUUGGUGAUGGCUGUGAUAAAAGCUUGUCUAAAAGCUCCUUCACUAUUGGCAAAUGUAUUAACUGUAGAUCUUGAUCGUUGAUCUGUAAACAAGAUUUGAUCUGACGAGAACAAACCCUUUCCUUGUUGGAGAUUCUUGAAAUAAGCAUUAUCGAAAGUACGUGGACUGGUCGGAUCCAUGUUGAUUGCAAUUCGUACGUCGACUCCGAUCGGGCACAUUUGCUUAAGCUGAAUCACGUAUCCACUAUUAAUAGUCGGAUCGAUACGUCGGCUAGGGCUAAAAUUGUAGAUUCUCUUUGUGAAUUUUCCACAAUGUGCAAAUCCUAUAGUGUGUGCUCCUGAAUUAUUUAACACAAUAACAUUAAUACUAUAUCUUAAUUGGAAUUUGAUUAAAGUAGAAAAUAUAAACGGUUAAGUUCGGUUUUGGUACCUGAGAGGGCGAUCAUAUCGGUUUGAGAGAGACCGUGACGGCUAAACAUGCCGUUGAGCUGGUUUAGGUUAAAACCGGGCUGAGGCAGUUGGUUUUGAACGCUGGACUGCGUGGAGAUUCUGCCAUCUCUCCUCCCUAGCUCCACCGGGUAGCUCGGUCCUCCGGUCUGCAAUUUUGUUUAGUUUUAAUCAUCAGAUUAUUAUUGUUAUUAUUAUUAUUAUAAAAUCUAUCAAUAGUACAUUUUUAUUAGGACUAUAUGACCUGUGAAGUUGUUACUUGGACUUGUAUUAAAUGGCUACAAACCGCCAAUAAAAAGUGUAACUUUUCUAACAAGAACAUGCUUUUUUAUAUUUAAUGAUAUGAUUAGCUUUUUCGCACAAGAAAAAUGAAAACGAUAUAUACUGUAGAAAAAAACGAAUUUUCAAUACCUCGGACAUUAUAUAAUAUUAAAGGAAAAAGAGAGGAAUAUUAACUUAUGUUGUAAUAAAUAAAUAAAAAUAUUAAUACCAAAACGACGACUUCACGAGUGGCGAGAGCCAAAAUGUCAGCACAUGAGACUUUGUUGCGGCAGUUGGGAUUGCUAUCAACGGCUUGCUUCGCCUUCACCACCGUGUCGAAUCCAUCUCCGGCCAAUGACAUGUCAUCUGGAUGGUCUCUCUCCGACGGUGAUGCUAUCAUUAUUGACGCAUCACACCCCUAAACAUUCAUAUUUACAUAAGAACGUAUGUAAAUAUAAUGUUUUGUUUGAAAAUGAUAUAUAGAAAGAGAAACAUCUUAAACUCUAAAUCUAGACGUUUUGCGUAGAUUUCGAUCAACAAUAGAUUUUAUAUUGUAAGAAAAUAUUGUAACCUACCCGAACGAAGCAAUCGUGGAAGAAGAGGCGGAGAGUGGCCGGAGCCGUAACAAAAGUCUGCUGGAAUUUCUGACGGACGGCGUUACGGACAAUGCCUUCGACGUUCGGACAUGAGUUCUGGUAGAAACCUGUCCGGAGCUGAGCAGAGACACAUGAAGAAAGGAGAAGAAGAAGAGAAAAUAUGGAGAAGAUGGUUUGGGCAGUAUACUUCUCCAUGGCUAAUUCAAUCAAAUGUUUUAAUCUUUAGAGUUCUUAGAGAGUCUCUUUUUAUAGUAGAUAGAAAGAGAAAUUUAAAUUGAUAGGUAUGGUACAAUUUGGGCUAGUUAAAAUAUAAUAAUGAUUUGAUGAUUAUUCUGAUGAUGAUCUGUUGAAUGAUAUAUUAAAAUAAGGAGUAGAAAUUGUUAGGAAUGUGGAUGUAACACUCCAUCUAGAUAUUGACAACUUGAGAGGAGGCUAAGGUGAGGCAUCAAGUUAGUAUUUUAAUCUUUCUAUAUUUGUCUUAAUUAUCAAGUAAAUCCAGAAAUUAGCUGUAAUGUGUAGUGGUCUGGUCUAUAUUGGUCUAGACACUGAUUGUUUUCUUUUAAAUGUACAAAAUUGUUCACUGCAUACGGAAAUUAGUUACAAUUAUUAAAAGAAAUGUGAAUAGUUACUACAAUAUGUGUGUAUAUAUAUGUACAUGCUUAGCCUUUUUUAAUAACAGUAUAGAUGCUUGUCUUUGACAACUCAGUAGCAUGUUACAAGUUUUAUCAUUUCUCACCAACUACAUAAAACAAGAUCGAGAGGUGACAAGAAGAAGAACUCAUCUUAUUCAUUUUACAAGUAUGAUUAGUAUCUACCUUAAAAUUUAACUUUAAUUACAACGUGGAAUGUGAUCGGAUGUUGACUAGCUUGUCAUAAUUAACUAAUUAAUUAUUUUAUUUAUUAAGUACUUGCAAUUGUGAAAUUAUUGAAAAUACUAUAGGAUAAGACUUUAGUUAAGAAAUCAAUCUAGUGGUACUCCAGUUAACACCUUAGUCAUAUAUAUAUAUAUAUAUAUACUCACAAAGAGACUAUUGAUAUUUCGUUAUAUUGCAUAUUAAUAAGGAAUUGUUUAGUCUUAAGAAACUAUCAACCGACUUCUAACUUUUGAGUGACAAUUUUUUGUUCAAACUGUUCAUCAUCCAUUUUUAAUGGUAAUGGUUCUGACAUAAACUCGAUUUUAUUCUAAACUUUUACAAAUGCCUAUAUGUAAAUAUGAAACCAAAACCACAUCUUGGUUUCAUGCGUUCAAAGCUUCCUUUUUUAUUCAAGAGAUUUCGCCAAUGGAUAUUUCAAUAUUUUACCCAUCCCCAAUAAUGCCUAAACUCCGGACCAUAAUACUAUACCUUUUGGGUGGCCAUGCGUACAAAUUUUACUUGGCAAGAUAUAUGAAGUUAAAUCUGGAAACCAUUUAAAUUGUAAAAACGGUAUUAUGAUAUCAUUACAUUACUAACUUAUAAAUUGGAUGAAGAAAACAUCAAAUAUACUCUUAACAAAUAUAUAUAUAUAUAUAUAUAUAUAUAUAUAUAUUCAAAUAUCCAAUAAUAUAUUUGGGAGACAAUUAUGUAAUGUGAGACGAUGCAAAUUUUCACAUAUUCUAUUAUAUAUUUAAUGUAUUAGACCUAAUUUUAAUUGUCGUUAAGAGAAUGAUUAAAUCCUGAUCGUCGUAUUAGGGACAGUUUUCUUAGUUUUUCUUUGAAAUGAUUAAGUGAUGCACAAUAAAACAAACUGUAAGAAAAUUAUACUAAUUAAUAACUCGGCGUCGCGGUCACGAACAUGUUCCUUGAUGCUGUAAUAUUGUCAAUAAUUGAGUUGAUAAUGUGUGUUUUUGUGCUAAUUUCUCACAUACGAUAAAAAAAGAUAUAAGCUAACCUGGAAAAAAAUAACGCAUGUCACUGUAACGCCAACUUCGAAUUAAUUUAAAAUAAGUUACUAACAGUAAACAAACUUCCAAAACUACCCAUGAUUUUAUAUGAAUUAGACGAUAAUUAAUUUGAAAGCAAAUGAUUGUAUCAAAUUUUUUACAUCCCUAUGUAAAUGGUGUUUCGACCAUAUUAUAAAUAUCCGAUUUUCACAAUAGAAAUAUUAGGAUUAAAAAAAUGUAGGAAAAAAAGUUUGUUAAGAGAUCUUACAUCAAUGACUAGUGACUUUACAAUUUGCAUGAUGACAAUAUGUUAAUAAUUGCUACUAUUAUAUAGUUGUGUUCUCGCUUGGGUUGCUGAAUAUUAUAUCUAGCUAGAUGAAUAGUUCUGUCUCGAUGAUCCAAUUAAGUCUAAACUAGAAAGUUUCGUAUAGUAUAUAUAAUAAUUGACGUCUAGAGUACGACAAGCUAAAAAGCCUAAAAAUCAUUAGGGUUCGUUAAGACGUCCAACUAGUGAGAUGUGGAUAUGUGAAUGUGAUUAGUCUUAUGACUCAUUUUAUACUAUUAGUUAAUUUGCUCUGAGUUAAAUUGCACAUUUACUUGACACGAAAAGUAUUACGUACCAAAAAGUUCAAACUCUGCAGACUGCAGUCUAGAGAAACCACUAAACAUAUGUUUCGGUUUAAGUAAAAAAAUUAGGAAAAAAAAAAAAUUAGGUCAAUCGCCGCUAGUUGGCAUAUGAAUUAUUUGAUCAAAGUUUUAUAAACUAAUAAUAUGAUACUCAAAAUUUAUGUAAGAGUUUUACGUCUUGACGGCUCUAAAUUAUGUCACAUGGCAUCUAACCAUGAUUAUAGGAAACGACGCCGUCUCCAUCAUCUUCUCAUGUAUUCAGUCUUUAGAGUUUAGACACUGUAGAAAGUUCUUGUUACAGAUGAAUGAAUAAAUGAAAAAUAUUUAUUUAAAUGUAAAACACUUAUAAAGUGGUAGGUAAUUCGUUCCUUCCUCUUUUGGUCAACAAACGGUAUUUCUAUAUUUAAGAGAAAAUGUUGUAAAAAAAGCACAAUUUUAGUUUGUACACUUUUGCUGUACACCAAAAAUAAAAUAAAAAAGCACUCAAUUCUCAACUUCUGCAAAACAAAAUUACAGAGUCUAUUUGUUUUUAUGAAAUCUCACUAAAUAAAAUCUUACUUUUGAAACCAAAUUUCCUCAAUUUGAUAGCAAAAUAACCCCAAGAAUAAAUAAAUCAAAGACUCAAGGUCAAGACCUGUGACCUGAAGAAGAAACAAUCACAAAAUAUGAAGAAAACAAAAACCUAAUCAAAUUAAAGAAAAAAAUGGAGAUUGAAAUAGAGAGAAACAAGCAAACAGAUCAUGAAAAACAAAUCAGAAAGACUUGAUGGAGAAGAAGAAAGAAAAUUAGAAGAAAAGAAAACUGCUCUGGGUUGUUUUUUUUAACAAGCCAUGAAAAAUGUAUUAUGCUUCUCAUGGGGAGCAGAAGCAGCUUAAAAUGCACUGACACUGUCCCUUGUAUCUUCUCCUUAUAGCUGAAACCACAAGAAAAACCCAAGAAAACUUCACCAUAUGUUCUCUGUCGAAUAAAUAACGUAAUUUUAAUGCUUGGUUUACGACUGUGUAUGUUACCGGAUCUUUUGAUGGAGAAGAAGAAGGAUUAUUUCUCAGAAAAGCUGAACAGCCAUUUUGAAUUUGUUCUGUUUCCAUUUAGGCAGCUUGUAGAAAGCUUCUUUCGUCAUACCGAAUUUCUCCUUGAACUCCUCAGAUGAAAGGUAAGCCUAUAACAGAGACCAAGAACUGUAAAGAUUUUCUCUUCCAUUGAAAUCUUUUCACUUACAAAUGAAAUUUGUUUUUGGUUUGAACAUACCUCUCUCCUUGUUACAUCAAUGUCUGAGACAGGAUCAGUGGAAGUUGUCUUGAGACGUUCGUAAGGGUGAGCUGGUAAAUCUUCCUCGUCUUCGACUCCUUCUUUAGCAUCUUCUUGAAUCGUUAGAGAUUCUAACCGGCUGCUCAUCGAUUUCUCCUCCUCCUUGUCAUUUUCCUUUUUCUCUUCCUGUUCUUUUGAGUUGGAUUCUGGCGCUGGAGACUCAGGUGUCUUCGGGCUCGCUACAUGUCCAAUUAAAAUAAAAAUGCUCAAUACUCAAAGUAGAAAUCUCUAAACCAAGAUGCGAAAAAGAUUGAAACUUGCAGAUAGAUGAACAUUCUGCAAAAAUGUGAAUCCCAAAACAAAGAUGAUAAAGAUUGAAACUUUCAGAUGAUCACUCUGCGAAAAUGUGAAUCCUUAAACCAAGAUAAUAAAUAUUCACACCUUCAGAUCAUUUAUUCAGCAAAAAUGUUUGUAAAUUAUACCUUUGAGUGGUUUUGGAAUUGAAGGUUCUUGGGGAGGUGUUUUUUCGAAAAGUGCACUACGAGAAGCAAUGGCUGAAGACUUGGGAGCGGGAGCAAACUUUGAGGAGUCAGGAGUAACAGAUCUCGGGUAGAGUUUUCUAACUACUGGGGGAGGGGUUGAGAGGUUUCUUGCAUUUUGGCUCUCAAAUGUUGCUGCGAGUGCAUUGAACGCUGGAGAUCUGCCCCUCACGCGAACCCUGUCUGGACUAAACGACAUACUUCUUGACCGCUGCUGCGACUUGUCAGGAACGCUGGCACGGCCACCAUAUGAAGCUGGAGUUCUUCGUUUCGGUUUCUAAUUAACAAAGGCACAACAAAAGAGAAGAAUUAACAAACAAAUUUUUAAAAAGCACACUCUGAAUAAUCAUCAAUAAGCAAGAAGAAUCAUUACAUCUGCAACUGGAGUUCCACCAUUUUUGACAAUUUUAAGUUUUCUUUGGAAUGAGUUUCCAUGCAUCUGUAAACAAAAAAAAAAAGUGUUUAACCCUAUGUCAGGGCUUCCUUCCGUGCUUAUUUCUCAGGGAAACCGAUUGAAGUUGAUAGGUACGUACAGUGGAUUUUGAGGAAUCCCAGGAAGUGAAAAACCUGGUGAAGAAUGACGGCUCACCGCCUUCCAUGAUCACAUAUAUAGGGGCUUCAGGGGAUAACUUCUCCAGGAGAGAAUCUUUCUCGAUGAAUUUCUAAGGAAACAAAAGGUAUAUAAAUGAGAAACUUGCCUAAAAAUUUCAGGAUCUUUUGAGACUAAUUCUCUCUAGAGUUAAGGCAGGGUUUAGUUUGCAAUGUAUCUACUAUAUCUGACCUCUCCAAUACUUAAAGCUAGUAACUUGCUCUUUGGGACUACUUCUUGGCCAACCCAGACAAAGAUUUCUGAGUGACAGUCUAUUAUAAAUAUAUCUUCGGUCAUCAAGUCAUCCUGUGUGAAGUUAUGUAUCUCUGUCACCUGCCAAAAUAUCACAAAAACAAAAACAAAAAAACCUGGGAUUAAGCAUUUUCCAUUAUGAUUGCAUAAAUCUUUGGUGAUAAAAACAGAUUUUUAAAGUAUACGCACCUUCAGAAUUUCUGGAUUAAUUUGCAUUUCAGCAAUGAAAAGAGGAAAAAAACAGAGUCAUUGUGUGCAUAUAUCAUCUUAGGCUUAAACUUUAUGGGGAAAAAAGUUAUGAUCAUUGUACCUUUUGUGAAUGUACAGGAGAACAAGUGAGGGUCACGCUCGGGUUCCUUCGUGAGCUUUUGGCUCGAAUAUUCAGCUUUGCCUCCUAAUAACUCCCAGAACUGUUCUGAUUCUGAUCCUUCCUUUUGUGCUCUAGCCUGUAGAUUUGGCUGAACAAAAAAAAGAAAUAAUAGACGCUGCUUAGGCUACACAUAAAACAUAAUUAUGAGUCUUAUAAUUGAUCUUUACUAACUAUGAUUAACACAUAAUUGACUUAUCCUUCUAGAGAUAAGGUGAAACUUAUCUUACCUUAAUCAGAUCGAGCUGCCUUUCGACGAGUUCUUGGUCAGUUGCGGUUGAUAGAUUUCCAGCCCAAGUAAAGACGGAAGAAUCAUUAUGUAGUAUGUAAUAGUAUGAGGAGUUCAGUGAUGAAGCAACCUUGUUUAAGUAAAUAGAAAAAAUAUUAGAGCCAUGAAGAUUUAUGUCUUAAAACAUCUGUGAACUCGAUAUGGUUCUCACUUCUCAAUGAUUCUACAGUAUCAAACAAUGAAGAAUGGGAAAAUUGACAUAUACCGGGUCAACUUGUAUAGCUUGCAUAUUUUCCGGACCAGACCCUUGAAUGCGGAAUAGAGCAAGACCAUUCUCAUUGUAUGUAUCAUCGUCAACUUCUUUCUCGGCUAUGUAUUUCUUGUAUCCACUGCUAAUACCACCCUGUGAAAAUCAACAGAUCGGUUCCAUCAGAAAACAAAAUCAGCAGACAUUGUAUAUACUCAUCAAAGAGAGCAUGGAUGAUAAAAAAAAAACCGCAUAACGAAAUUAUUUUUCGCCAAACCUUGAAAACGAUAAAGCUUUGCAUAAUCACGAAGAAUAUAACGGGUUCCUUUCCUUCAUAAAUGCGAGCCUAAGACAAGAGAAUGAAAAUGUUCAGAAAAAAGAAAGAAGAUAAAAUCCAACGGCUUAGAAUUUUGGAAUGAGUGCAGAAGAAGAUUACUUGGGCUGGGACAAAUUUCAUUGACUCAACCAUUUUGCUUGCCAUAGAGACUGCAGAACCUCUUUCUUCCUACACAUGAUCACAAACUGACAAUUUUAAACCUACUUGCAACUUGUAAGUUCUUGCUUCUGCAUAUACAUCAACAAUAUCUAUGUGACACAAUCAUGUAAGAAUUUGCCUCUGUUAUUUGGAGAGCUCACCUCCACACUUUGUUUGCCGAACCACGUUCCUAUAAGGACUUCUUCUUUUUCUUCUCCGGGAUAAGAAUACUGGAAAACAUAGCAAUCUCCACUGUAGAAUUUUGAAUGAUCAGCAGCUUGAAGGAGAGUCUUUGCCUGACCAUUUACACGCCAAACCUGCAGAUUUCCUGUGCAAUCGAUGAAAACUUGAGGCUCUUCUUUAGGCGGAGCAGCUUUCAUCAGGCCUCUGACAUUUACUCCUUGUCGUUGCAAAAGAGCUGCUCAACAAAUGACAAAAGAAAAAACCCAAUAACAUUUCAGCUACCUGUCAGUAUUUAAAACCAUUAUCCAGUUUUGAGUUCAGUAUUACGGACCAGCAACUCUGCCUCUACCAUCCUCUGACACGGUUGUGUUAGUUUCUUGAGUCCAAGAUUCAAACUUUGAUCGGAAUGGUACGGUUUCAAACCCUUCUAUUAUGCGGAUCAUUUGCGAUUUGGGUCGUUCAGAUGAACGGAUCAUUUCCUGUAUGGCUCUACUAACAUCAGCAAACAUUAUGGCAUACAACAAAAAAAUAUAUUCAGACGUUCUUUCGAUUUAAAAAAAAAAAAACUUACUUCUGCUGCUCCACUCGCAAUUUUUCUAUCAUCAAGAGAAGUGGUUCUUCCCAUCCAAACAAACACUUCAAUUCCACAAUCAAGAAUGUAACACUUGUUUGUAUCCAGCAUCUCCCUCUUCAAUGUAUCGCCUUCAACAGGAUUUGCCUGUCCCUUCUCGACACUACAAAUUCAAUAAAGAAAAUUGUGUUCAUUUAAGGCAUUAUGGGCUCAAAAUGUAUGUACUAUGACGAGAAGAUGUUACCAAAAUAAUUUGGUGAUAUCGGAAUUAUAAGUUUUGUCUUCAUCAUUAGCUGUUUUCCUAGGUAGCGGAGCAAACCCACCAAAGAAACCCCAAAAUUCUCCACUGUCAGCAUCAGCCAUAAGUUUUCCAUCCUCUGCAAAUGAAACAUAUGCAAUUAGAGACCAAAGCAAAGAGAAAAUAGAGAUACUAAUCCUUAAUCCGACGGCCCACUAACCAACUGUUGCAACUUCACAUGUCCCAUCAUGGUAAGUAUCUUUGAUGUACUGAACCACUUCCAGUGCUUUUGCUCUCUCCUGGAUACUUGAAUUGGAUCCAUUGAAUUGGAAAAUCUUGGACUUUGUAUCAAGAAUGUAAAUAUCGUCAUGGUUUAAAGAACUCCGAGCAAAAGGAACCUGUAAUCAAUUUAGACCGUUAGUGUAUGACUACAAAGUGAGAUAAAAGAUAACGGACAAGGAACCAAAAAGUGAAAUGUGACAUGCCUCUUUGACAUGGACAACAUGUUUUCCUCUGCAGACGAAUAAGCGGGUAGUAUGUUCUUCAGCUACCACAUGUUUGAAUCCAGAUGCUACUCCACCUUCUUGAGGAAUGAUACAUGGCUUAAAAUAAGACAAGAAUUUCUCGGUUUCGUUGCCUUGAACUUCCCGAUACUGAACUGCACGACCUCCAAGAGCAGCAUCUAAUUCAACUGUCUUAACUGCAGCAGUCCCGGCUUCAUCCUAAUUUUUUUUAGAAAAUUAUUUUCUCUCAAACUUUUCCUGUCUUUUUACGAAAGUAAGGAAGAAAAGGUAAAUGAAAUAUGAACAGUGGGUUACCUGAGAGGUAUCUUUACCAAGCCAGUAAUGGAUAUCAUGGCGCAAUGCACCAGUUUUUAACGCCGUUGUCUGGUCACAAAAGAUUGAUCACCAGAUAUAAAUAAAUUUAACCAAGACUCGAUGAAGGAAACCAGCGUAAAAUGGCAAUAAGGAAACGAAAAAGAAGUCGUUACUAGGCCUUAUAUACCUUCAAUACUAUGUAAGAAUCUCCGGUGAAAAACUUCCCAAUAGAAGAUUUUGGAAUGGGGGUAGGGAGGAAAUUCUCUAUACGCCAUAUCUCAAUACCACUAAUCUAUUGUCAAGGAGAACAUCAUGCAGAUAUUUCAAACAUAAAUGUAAAACACAGCAUCUUUACUAUAAGAUCUUUUAACAAUAUAAGAUUAAAGGAUACGCCUUCUGUCCAGCUCCUUGGAAAGCUGGAUCUAAAUCUCUCAUGGAAACAGACAUACUUAAGCAGUCUUUACCACUUUCUCCAACUUAUGAACACCACAACGAUAGAGAAGACUAAUAAUAACCUACAAGACACCAGCAACUAAGAGUAAAAUCUCAAGAAUCAACAAAUGCAAAAUCAUUCUAUCAAAGCCAAUCAAAGGACACAUUCUAAUUGCAGAUAAGGCAUCACAAGCAGUGAAAAAAAGUUCUUGUUAUAUGCAUAGUUCCAAUGAAAACCGAAGAAACUAAUAUCGAUUAUCAUCAUUGCCAUACACUAAUCAAAAAAUCAACUCAUAAUCCACCACGGUCAACAUCAUUCAUCUCAAGUCAAUCUCUAUCAAAAUGCUAUGAAAUAUAUGUUACAUUGGAAGUAGGGUUUAUGUAAAUUUCACAAUUUCCCAGACUAACAUUAGAUGAAACCAAAGCAAAACUCAGAUAUUCGAGAAAAAAAAGGAGGAACAUUUCCAUUGAACAUCAUCAUACUCACCGAACCAAAACAUUUCAAUAAACAACAUCACAAAACCCAAGAAUAGAUAAAGCUCAAAGAUUGAUGCUUUCUACACAAAAUCUAUCUCACCAAUUAAUAAAAACUAAAACUUUGGCUUUAAAAACAAACUUAUCUACAUGCAAAUUUCAGAAAUCCAAUCAGAUCAACGCAACUAAACCCAGAAACUGAAAAAUCUCAGAGAAACCAAAAAAACGAAUAAAUUCGAUACGUUUCAGUAAUUACCUUAUACAAAUCCGCUAUUCAGCUCCAAGCCCAGAUCCAAUCUAAUGACAAAAAUUGCAAAAAGAAAGUACAAAACUUUGGUCAAAAUUUUCGACCCUGGAACAAAAAGAUGAACAGAAGAAGAAGCAGAGGAAAAAAAGUGAAAGAGAGAGAGAGAGAGAAUUGAAUUGAAAGCUUUAUUUAGAGAGAGAAGCUGAUAAACAAUUGAAGUCUUAGAGAGAGAGAAAGGUUGGAGGGAAUGAUGAGAAGCCAGGCGUGCUUAUCACUAACCCAACAACACAAGAAGAGAAACCCAUCAACUGUUUAUUUCUUCAUUCUUCAAUUUUAUAAAAAACAAAACCAAAUUCAACAUCUUUGAUGGAUGAGAAAAUAAAAAUCCAAACUUUUUUUUUUACGGUUUUAUUGUUUGGUGGUGAUUUUUAUGUCGUUACCACUUCUGGGUUUUUCUGACCGUAAUAAAAACACUGUAAUGAAUGGAGAUUUUUUUUUUUUGGCGCAAAUCUUAUUUAUUUUGCUUUAAAUCCCAUUAAUGUUUUGAUUACAUGUAACCUUCAGGUUUAGGACAACAAUCUCAUAAAAAAAAUUGAGUUUCUACAGGGGUUAGAUAUGUAAUUAAAUUUGGUCACAUCUCUUUAUUUUUGUUUAUUCUGAUUUACAGGUAAGAUAUUUGGUUAUUUCCAUAAAGUCAAACCUUUUAUCAGAAUUUGUUUAUGCUCCUAAUGCCGUUACUAACUAUGAUGGAGUCCUAACAAUAUAUUUAAGGAAUCUGAAUUAAGGUUUAUAAUCAUAAUUAUUUGUUCCUAACAUCAGAAUUCAGUAAGAAAAAAAUAUUGUUUCACCUAAAAAGAAGAACAAACAAAAGGUCCUAUUACCUUUAACUUUAAGGCUGUUUGUCACCCUUUUUUUUUUCUCUCUCUCUUUCCAGUUUCCAGUCUUCGUUAAUCAAUAAUUUCAAGCUUUAUGAUGAUUCAUUAGCAAUGGGUUAGUUUCAUGAAUUAGGAGAAAGAAACUUUUUUAAAAAAGUCUUAUGAAUGAAUUAAUUGGCUUCCUUAGGUGAUUAAUUUAGAUCAAUCUUUGUUGACAGAAACAUUGACCAAAUUCUGAUCAUAUCAAUAAAUUGAAAUAUCUUUGAUAAGUAGUUUUGUAUUUUAAUAUUUUUUGCUUAUGGGUGUCUAAUAUGAGUUGUACUUUGGGGUUUCUUAAUAUUUCUUUUCUAUCUUAAAAUAUAUUUCCUCUGUUACAUAAGGAUUAAUUUUUUUAGAAUUCUCAUAAAUAUUAGAUGAACUAAAUUUUGUUUGAUUUAGGUUGAUUUGUUUAAUUUUUCAAGAUUAAUUCAAAUAUCUCUUUUGACAUCAAUUAAAUUAAUAUAGAGUAAAUAAAAAUCAUAAAACAAUUUCAUUUUCAAUUUUAUUUAACAUAAGAGUAUAUAGAUUUGACUGUUUUUAUUUUUUUGGAAAAUGUAACAACAUACAAGAAUGAGAUAGAAAGAUGGAACACAAGAAUAUUCCUUUUCAGAAAUUAGGACAACUUUAUCUAGAUUUUAUGUGUUUGAAAUAGUUUCGAACGUUUGUUAAAUACAAUUUUCCUCUGCUUCUUACCUCAGAUCGUGAAUAUACGUGCAUUACUUGUGAUCGGGUCAAAUUUAAUAUGUACCAAAGAUUUCAUAAGUUAUAAAUAUCUUGUUGGAAAAUAUAUUCUAUUUUUUCAAACAAUAAGAGGGAAAAAAAAAAACUUCUAAAUAUAGAUGAUUAGUUAUACACUAAAGCAAUUAUGGAUUAACGACGAUCGUCUUUUAGUUUGGUGAUGUGAUGAAGUUUUUUGACUAUACGAUCAAUUUCCACAACUAUACAGAGAUAAUCAUACAAAACUUAAUAAUAAUCAUAUAAUGUAGUAAUUUAUAAACAUAUUACCAUAAACUUUCAUUGCCGAUCAAUAAGAAAACAAUACCAUGACUAUUGUAUGAUUUGGCUAGCGUUUAUAUGGGACCAAAGUGAACGAAAUAUAUUGUUUUAUGGAGUGUUUUCGUAAAUAUAAUAUUUUCCACCUUAUUAAUGUGUACGUCCGAGUAAUAAAAAUGACAGUAUCUGAAUGUGCUCAAUAAUUGUGGAGUUAGUUUAUGGUUGGUCACGGAUCAUAACAUUUUACCGUCUAAAAUGAGAGCAAUAUAAUCAAAAAGUGAUAGUUUAUAUCGCCAAAUUUUUACUUUCAUUUCGUAAUAGUGCUUAAUACGAAAGUUGAUGAAACAAUUUAUGUCGCCGUAGUACUAUGUCACCCAUCAGAUUUAUUAUGCGUAGAGAAAGUAUUUCUUUUUUUUGGGUAAGAGAAUAAAUCAUCUAUUUUCUAUAAAGUUUCAAAAAAUGUAUACAUCAACCUAAAUUUUAUAUUCAGAAUAAAAUAAUUAUAAAAUAUCAAAACCGACCAAAGUAAAGUAUGUACACACAACACUUUCGGCUCCAAUGUAUAAUGAUUUGACGAAAAGGACAAUGACUUGGUCAUUUUUGUUCACAACGACUAUCGUAUAUUGCCGCCGGCACCGUGGAAACUGAUGGUCGGAGCCGCCGUGAAUCGGUGAGAUACUGUGGCUUAUUAUUAUUUUGUUUGACAAUCUUUGGGAAUUUCUUGUUUAAAAAUAAAACGAGCAAAGAGUGUGAUUGUUUAGUGGCAGACAAGAAUCAAUAUAUAUAUAAAUUUAUAUAGUUUGCGUAAAUCAUGUCUUAAUUAUCGAUUACUAUUUUCUCAAACAAAAGAUAAUUACCUACCCAUCUUCAACACAAAAACAACACAAAGGCAAGACCGCAAGAGUCUUACACAAAUAAUCCUUCAUUCUUUUAAAGUCUAAGACAUUUAUUGCGCAAAAUUAAAUAGUCUAAAAUAUGCUAUAAGUUUUUUCUUCGUUUAUUGCGCAGUCUAAAUUUUAAUAAAGACAGAUUUUUUUUUUUUUUUUGUCAUCUAGAUUUAUUAUUAAUUACAAAUUAUGAGAACUGUUACAUAGACGAUUCUACAACUGACAAUUCCUUCCGACCCUUACUAGAUCCACGACAGACUACACUUCCUUCUUCGUAAUCUUGAUGAAUACCUUCAAUGAUCCACGACUUGGCGACACUUCUUUCUCUGCGUAGAAUCCUGGCGAACGGCUAUAAUUGUACAUCGCUGGAGAUCUCUUGCACACUUGCCUCAAUUAAUCUACAAAUUUGUUAAUAAAUCGCAAUACCUGGGACUCGAACCCCAGACCUCUUGGUGUAGAAGCAUUAAUCAACCCUUGGUCAACCAAUGGGCCAAGGGGG